rnacentral:lncRNA from 1 species
UGUUUUUUAUUUUGUGAAGCUUGAUUGACGACUUGUAUGUUUAAGUGGGAUAUCUCAUUUGUAUGGACAAAGUAAAAAUUAUCAUGUUUUGCAUGCUUGAUUGUAUAGAUGGUUCGUUUAUGUCAAUUGUGAGCGGGAGGAGGCCAUAGAAGAGCCGGCCACACCAAGAGGGUGCUUGGAUCCAAGGGACUUAUUUUAGUCUGACUAAAAAUAGGGUCCAAAGUAGUCAAAUGAUUGAGAUAGAGCAUUUAUUGUCAAUCUAACCCUGCCAUCCAUACACCUCUUUGGUUUAGAGUUAGUUCAGGGUUAGAAUCUAACUCUAGCCUCUAACUGAGUUAGAGUUCUCCUCGUCUCGGUUCAUCGCCAUCAUACUUUCCCCAUUCCUGUGUUUUCAGUAUCCUUCGAAUCAAAGAGGCCCUUUUUUCGGGAAAAAUCAAAGAGGCCCUUAGACUGGUUUAGGUCCGAUCAUUUUUUAUAAACGUGUUAUGUCCAAAAUUUAAUGAACGUGCUCCAGUUUCCACGAAAAUAAUCCGGUUUCAUGUAGUAAUUCAUUGAAUUAUUUAUUGUUCUACGGGGGGUUUGCAUGUAAUUCAUGAGGUCUGAAAUGCAAAGUACCCCGGCAUAUGCUCUGAGUCGUGCAUGCACUACGACCCAGAUACUCUAUGUCCCACAUGUCGGCGAAUGGGAGCACGUGGAAAUAGCCUAGGAGUACAUAUAGGAGGAUAAAUGCGUGAAAAAUAUGUACUGUGAAGCGUAGCCGCGGUUCGAAAAGUAGACCUAAAGUGAUGACAGCUAUAGGUCGCACGCACCCAACUAGUGGUACUAGACAUACGACUAAUUUUUCCCUCAAAAAAAAGAGGCACGAGUGCUCAGUACUCCUAUUCUAUAAACAUGGGUCCCAUCUGACAACAGCGUCCGUGCUACAGCUAGCACUCCUCCCUCGUUUCUCUCUUCUACUCUCUAAGAGCAUGGUUAAUAAUAUAGCCAGCUGCUGGCUAUAUGAUGUUGCCAUGUCACAUAUAGUCAAGUUUAUAGCCAACAAGUACAAUAGCUAGAUAUAAAUAUGCACAUAUAGCCAGAAUUCUUCGACCUGCAUUUAUUUACUUGUUGGAAUCUUUAGAAAGACUUAUAUUUGGGAACGGAGGGAGUACUAUACUAAUAAAACAUUAAGGCCACGAGGCGAUGCAGUGCUGGUUACAGGAGGCAAGAAGAAGAGAUGCAUCUAUCGACGACGUCCACCUCCUCGACUCAGGGCGCCGGCCCACCGAACAGCGCCUAAGUAGCAGCGGCUUUCGUGGCCAGGUCGAUGUGCUUCUGAACAAUGGCAUCCAAAGAUUCCAGCCACUGGAAGAAGGCCAACAUCUUUCUGUCCUCGCUUGCCUUGUAGUGGCCUAUGUAGACGAUUUCCUCGUAGAUGUGGAUGUGCAGGUUGACGGUUUCUUGCAUGGCGAGGCGCUGCACGGCGAGCGCGGCCUCGAGGUGCACAUUCUUCGUCGCGACCUCCGGCACCUGCAGGGCCACCAGGGCUUGAAAGAGUUCAUCACCAUCUAGGCCGAUGAGGGUGGCAGGCAAUGAGGAGCCUGGGCGCGUGGGCUGGAGCAGUACGGCAAGGUCGUCCGCGCGCUUCUUGACGGGGGUGAACUUGCGGAUGGAGUUGACCAUCAUGUCGUCCAUGCGAGAGGCGAAGCCGGCGUCGGCGAGGGCUAUGAUGCCUGCGGUCGCCAGCACUGUCUGGAAACGCUGCGCGGUGUGGGGCCGCAGGACGGCGCCUUGGAUGAUUUGGCACAGCCGACUGCCGCUCGCGUCCAUCGCCUCCAUAGGUGCUUGUGGCUUCUGGUCACUUGGUCUUGGAUUGGAGUGAGCAGUGUUGCGCAGAGACUUGGGAGUAGAUGGAUUGGAGUGGUGGGGCGCCUUUAUUAUAUGAGAGUCCAAACUCUGUUGCAUUCACAUCGUGCAGGCUCUAGUCUGCUUCUCCAAUUAAUUCCCUCUGCAUGUAAUUGAGGAUGCAUCAUUGACCGUUCAAUGUCUCGGGAACCGCUACCCUCUUCCUCCUUGGAAUUCUAGCCUAUGGACCCGUCGAUGACGAGGUGCCUAUGGUGACUUCGUAAAAUUCAAGAUGAUACUUAGUGUCGUGCGUGUGUGCGUUCAUAGGGGUGAGUGUAUGCGCGUGUAUAUGAGCGCUUGCGUCUGUAUUGUGUCAAAAAAACAACAACAUAAACGCGUGUCAAAAAGAGACUAGUCAGUAUACUCAAUAUUGUGCACCUCGGAGAGGAAAAUGAUAGAACUAGUACGUAUUUAUUUACGGUGCAGAUUCACUCAUUUUGCUCCAUAUGUACUCCGUCUCGGUGUAGUCUAGUCACUUGUUGAAAUCUCUAGAAGGGCAAAUACUCCUUUCUGGUUUACAGGGCUAUACUAGCAAGUAGUUGUAUGUAUAAAUACAAUAGUGGGAUCACAUAGCAAUUUUGUCUCAUGCAAGAGCCUGGCUAUAUGCAUGCUCCAAUGUUCGCAACUGCAAUGUUCGGUUUGCGCUUGGCUCUUCGCCUCAUCGAGUAGACGAACAAUGAUGUUACUACUACUGCUUCUACAGUGUCGAAUCAACUGCUGCAUGUCCGUCCACUGUGAGCGGGACGGAUAGCUUGUUGUAGAAGUACUACUAAGCAAAAGUCUGUCCUCAUUUGCGAGCAAUAGCGCGCAUGGGCGAGGGAGAAGGCGUGUAGUAAAAUCAAGCUUCUCCUCAUUCUACGAGUUGACGCGACACAUCAUAGCACUGGCCCCACAUGCUUGCCUCGAAACAUGGCUGAAAGACCCACAGUGUACAAUAUAUUUGCUGCAACCUCUAACAUUUACCCACCACAAAUUAAAUUAUAUAUGUGGCCGUAUGCAUCAUUCUGAUGUAAAGGCCGGGGAGUCCCCCCUUUUCGAAAAAAACUAAUUAAAAUAUAUAUAUUCCUGUCUUGACCAGAUGAGCGUGCAAACUACAAUCACCAGGGUGACAGGUAGGGCCAGAAGACUAUUUUAAUUUUAAAAUAACUUCGAGACGGCCACAUAGCAUGGAGCCGACCCCAACGAUUUUAAGCUUACAGGCACGGUACAUGCUAUCUAGACUACUCUACACAUGAAACUGCCACGCGAGCGUCCGGGCUGCGCUUGGCUCUUCGCCUCUUCAGGAAGUCGAACAAUGAUGGUGUACUACUGCACUGGAGGAGUACUACAGUACGCUUCUGGCCAUCUGACACCGAUUGAACUGCUGCAUGUCCACCGCGUGCAGGAGGGAGAGCGUGUAGCGAAAGCUUCUCCUAGUCUUGCCAGCCACCAUGCUCAUGGGCGAGGGAGGGACGCUCCUGUCUUUGCGUGUAUGACAGGUGGGCCCGGCAGGUGUGUGGCCAACCUGUCAUACAGCCAAAGGCAGGCGCAGUUAAGUCCGCGAGGGAGAGGAUAAUCAAACUUCUCGUUGAUGUACGAGUUGACGCGACACAUCAAAGCACUGCAGUCGAUAUAUUUCAAUAAUUUAGGGUUACUGAUGCAUUAAUUACACAGCAUGCAUGCAUGCCGUGACUCUCCUUUUGAUACUUGCAUGUGUUGAUUUAAUGCACCUUGAAGUAGUACUCCCUCCGAUUCCUUUUACUUUGCGUAUAACUUUUUCUUGUUUUUCUCAGAUUAGUCUACGCGUCCGCGUUGGUUUCCAUCUGUGCCCCCGCUCGAUUAGUUCUGCCCCCAUUAAUCGCGCCAGUUUCCAAAGCAGAAAAUGGCUACAGGCAAACGCGUGCAGCGCCGGAUGCGGCUUGACCGCCUGGGGAAGCCAACUCAAGCAAAAAGGAAGGAGGACCAGCCAACCAUUGCAUGCGCAUUUACUAUCGAUAUUUAUGCAGCUUACUCAUGCGCAGGGGCAAAUUUGUCCAGAAAACUCAAACUACUGCCUUCCUUGGUAUGCAGGAGGACAGUUAUGCGGAGAGUAUAAAAUAUGUGACGGUAAAGCUUUGUAAUGCCCCAGCCCAAGCGAGAGAUGGUUGUGCACGAGGAGGGCGAGAUCAUGCAGACGGAACAGGAACCGACGAGGGAGCUCACUAAGGUCUCGAUGGACCUCACCGUGCUCCACUGCCCCUUGUGCCUCCGCCCCUUGACUCCUCCAGUGUAUGAGGUUCGAAUACACCUCAUCCAUUCGGCUGAUUGAGCAAGGUUUAGGUUUCUUGAUUGAUGUGUUGUUCGAUUGAUUUCUGCAGUGUAAGGGAGGGCACCUGGCCUGCGCGGACUACCGCGUCGAGCGCCCCGGGAACCAGCGGCAGUGCCAGAAGUGGGAGCGCGGCGGUGGCUUCGACGUGCGGAACACGGGGUGGACGCCGUUGUUUCGUCACUGAGGGUGGAGUGCCCGCACGAAGGCUGUGGGCUCUACGUCACUUACCACAAGCUCACCGAUCACCAAGUCCGCUCGCGCCCUGCAAAUACCCCAUGCCCGUCUGCGGCUACGAAGGCCCGCCGCUGGCGCUCUACCACCACAUCAGCAAUGCGCAUCCCAUGCCCGUGCACAGGAUCCAGUACGGCAAGGUGCUCCAGCUGCAAGUGCCACUAUUGGAGCCACGGCUCUUGCUGUUCACGGAGGAGGACUGCCGCACGAUUUUCUUGGUCGGCGGCGUGCUCGACAUCGGCGUGCCUAUCACCGUGUUGGUCGUCUGCAUCAGAGCGGGGGCGUCCCCACUGCCGCACGGCAAGCUGUGGGCGAACGGCCCACCAGGGGAGCCCAAAGGCACGACCGACGCCGUCGAGGUGGAAAUGGAGGUGACAAGCAGCAAGGAUCCCGGCGACAUCGACAUGCAGGAGCUGACCUUCUUGACAGUUCCGCCCAAGCUGCUGGCCGGGGCUAAGCUUGUGUCCCUCCACAUUCAGAUUAACAAGCUCACGUCCUAAAUGUUUUGACAGUGCCUUCUGUUUAUCUUAGUAAUAUGCUAAUAUAGGGAUUACCUUGGUCUACUUUAGCUUAAGAAAUGGUGGGUUUUGAUGGUGAUGCAGCAAUUACUUCGACAUCAAAUCAGUAAUUUCCAACAGUCGAACGGAUAUUUUGUGUCGGUUGGAUAUAAAGUUCCUUUGGGUAAGAAGUACUACUUGUCAUCAAAAUGGAUAAAAGGAGAUGUAUGUAGACGUAUUUUAGUUCUAGAUACGUCCCUUUUUAUCCAUUUUGAUGACAAGCACUCCCUCCAUUCCACAAUACAUGCCUUCCUUUUGUCAAAAUAUAGAUGUAUCUAGACAUGUUUUAGUAUUUAGGUACAUCCAUGAUAGAGCCAAUCAGAUGGUUGAGAACACUACAAUUCGUAGCUAUAGAUGCAUGUGUGACUCCCAGAUGCAGAGGCCGGGGGUCAUCAUCCUCCUUUUCAAGAAAAAACAGACGCGUGUGUGAGAGGACGAGUGCAUGCGUGCACCUCUUCUCUUCCUGUAUAACGUACUACUAAAAUCAGAGUACAAGUUUUUGUGGGUGGCACGAUGGUGCGUGCGAGAAGUCCCGAGAGAUAGGUUUAAUGCGUCUAAAAAAAGGACUAUCCUAGAGCUCACCAUGCGGGUAUUUACAAAUUUUGAGCUUGCGUCUCAUCACAUUCCAAAUUACUCCAUGCUAUAUUGCAGACCUAUUCACACCGAUCACAACCUAAAUGGUUUCCCACUUAGGAGCGUAUUAGUACCACGCUAUAUUGAAUUCCAAACCUGUUCACACCGAUCACAACCUAAAUGGUUUCCCACUUAGGAGCGUAUUAGUACUCGGUUAUAAAUACUAGUAUGCCAAGAUGACUGCACAUUCCUCCUCAGAUCAUCCACAAAAACAAAAAAGUCAUUCAGCAUUCUUCCCUUGCGUCUGCCAUGGCCAGCGUGAGUUCUGGGUCGAGAGAUGCCAGCAGGGAGAGGCGAGCAUGAAAGCGGAAGCACGAGAGAUGUCCCACCUCGCUGCGAGGCCGACAUGUCCUGCCACGCGGAAGUAGUAGCACAGAGGUCCCACCGCGCCACUGAAGCAGCACGGAGGUCCCGCCGCGCCGUCGAUGCAGCAGACUGGUCCGUCCGUGCCACGGAAGCAGCAGAGAUGUCCCGCCGCGCCGUGGUGGCCUGGGAAAAUUUCUCGUGAGCAGGCGACGACUGUUACAGGCGCAUGCAUGCGAUCGUCCAUAGCUAGAUGGAUCAGAUCUCCGGCUUGGCGAGGUUGCAGGACGACGUGAAAGCCUCGUUUGAACAGGCUACCAGCGUCAUCCGGCAACUAAGGGAGGGCAAUGAGAGGCUCCGGGCCGAGCGCGACCUGCUGAGGGAGAAGAUCGUCCGAAGUGCAGACCAGCAGGAGGUGACUAGUGCCUUGUUGAAGAGGACCGGCGUCAUCGUCAAGAAACUUAUGGACGAGAAUGACAUGCUCCGCAACAAGCGCAAAAGGCUGGUGGAGGAAUCCAUGGAUGUUCUCAAGCAGCGUCUUGAGGACACAAAAGAGCUCAUCGCCGCUCUCCGCGGAGACUAGUUCCCAUGGCCUGCAGCAACGCAUGAGGAAAGUAGAGAUCAGCGAGCCAGAUCCUUGUCUUCCUUCUUCUUUUGCCCUUGUGUAUUUAGGGCGUAGCCGCAUGUGGCUUUUUUAAUUAUCUUUCUAAUUAUGUAAGACAAUUAAUCGUCCUUAUCUUUCUGUGGAAGAUCAAUGUUGCAAGGCUCGAAUGAAGAAAACUCUUGUUGUGGCGACCCUGGUGUUGCUGUUCUUCUAGUUGUUGUUGGGCUUCCUUCUGUUUCCUGGUUUAUUUUGAUGUAAUAAUCGGUUUAGGAUGUGGAUUGUGUCGUCGGUUGUGAAAUGUUGGGUUCUAGCGCAGAUGUUUGGCCUUUUUGGCCUCUUGGGAUGUUGCGAUUUCAAUCUGGUACUCCCUCCGUCUCAUAAUGUAAGACGUUUUUUUGACACUAUACUAGUGUCAAAAGGCGUCUUAUAUUAUGGGACGGAGGGAGUAGCUUUUAGUCCUUCGUGUUAGGCUGGAGUUGUGCUGAACUUCUUGUGAAUUGUGGUGGUUUUUAGUAAUGAAAAUCGGAAGGGGCAAGCCCUUCUUUGAUCAAAAAAAAUUGUCCUUAUAUAUUCAUCAGUCUUGCUAUAAGUCGCAGUAGAUGCUAUAUAGGUCCGUCGGAUCUUACAUCAAGAUCCGUGCUGUCAGAUUUUCUUUUUUCUCUCUUAAAUCUCAGUCGAGUGAGACAUAGGCACGCCAUUAAACAGAGGCUCGGGCGCCAUUAAUGGAGACCUUGGGAGAGAGGUGGACGGCAGAUGGAGGUCAAAGGGCUCUCCUCCCGAUAAGCACGCGCAGGGGUCUGAUCGCACGCCUCUCGUACUCAAAUAGCUACCCUGCAUGGUGCCUCCUAGCUAAUAAAAAAUGGGGACGCGUGGUGGCACGUAAAUGGUACUAGUAAGUAGAACGCCCAUGGUUUCAAUAAUACUUGUGUUUCCGAUUGUAACGUGACAACACUUGUUCCAAAAUGACUUUGUUGAUUGUUAAUGUGUGCACCUUCGCAAAUCGGACUGCAAAUUUACCACGGCAUGUUGGUGCCAUGUCAUGGCACCAAGCCAAGUUUCAUUAUUUUCAUGCGUGUUUUGGAUUUACAGGAAUUAAAAAGCUAAGUUUCUCAAUAUUUCCAACCCAGCCACGACGCCCAGAAUUUUGAAUUUCAUUCCCAUUUCUUUCAUGGAACCUAGAAAUUUAUCCGAGGACACACAUGUGAUUUUUCAACCAACUUUGGUGCACUGGAACAUGUGCUUGUAUUUCAAAUUUGAAUUAUGCACACAAAGGUGACGCGUUCCCUCCCAGAACCACGAGCCUUCUUGAGAGAAGCUCCGAUUUGCAAGAAGCUUAUACCAAAAUUUGUUCUAUUCGGCCAUUUUUUUUAACACGGCAUGGUACUACCAUGACAUGACACCGUGCCAAUUUCAUGAUUUUAAAACCAAGUUUCUCAAUGUUCUUCACUGAGCCACGAUGCCCAGAUGUUUGAAUCUUAUUCUCAUUUUUUGCAUGGGAGUAGAAAUUCACCCGAGGACACAAAUGUGAUUUUCAACCAACUUUGGUGCACGGGAGCACGUGCUUGUAGUUCAAAUUUGAAUUAUGCACAUUAAAUGACCAAAAACUCAAUUAAUGUGUAAAUAAGGCCAAACGAAGCCGGAAUAAUUCCAAAAUUUAACAGGACACUCAUGUAGUUCUGUGUUUCCUUUGUAAAUAAACUCAAGGGGGACAACGUAUAUCAUUUCGCACUCAAAGGUGACACGCUCCCUCUCAGAACCACGAGCCUUCUUGAGAGAAGCUUCGGUUUGCAAGAAGCUUAUACCAAAAUCUGUUCCUAUUCGGCCAUUUUUUUACCACAACAUGGUAGUACCAUGACAUGACAUCCAUGCCAAGUUUCAUGAUUUUCAGACGUGUUUUGGAUUUACAAGAAUUUUAAAAACAAGUUUCUCAAUGUUCUCGGCUGAGCCAUGAUGCCCAGAUGUUUUAAUUUUAUUCUCAUUUCUUGCAUGGGACCUAGAAAUUCAACCGAGGACACAAAUGUGAUUUUUCAACCAACUUUGGUGCAUGAGAGCAUGUGCUUGUAGUUCAAAUUUGACUUAUGCACAUUAAAUGACCAGAAACUCAAUUAAUGUAUAAAAACGACAAACGAACCCAGAAUAAUUCCAAAAUUUAACAUGGUACUAAUGUAGUUCUAUGUUGCCUUUGUUAAGAAACUCAAGGGCGAGGGGGGGUGGCAUGUUCCCUCUUAGAACCACGAGCUUCCAAAUCGGCCCAAUUUUUUACCACAACAUGUUAGUGCCAUGACAUGACAUGAUGCCAAGUUUCAUUACAUGAAUUUAAAAUCUAAGUUUCUCAAUGUCUCGGCAGAGUCAUGACGCCCAGAUGUUUGAAUUUCAUUCUCAUUUCUUCCAUGGGACCUAGAAAUUCAACCAAGGACACACAUGUGAUUUUUCAACCCACUUUGGUGCACCGGAGCAUGUGCAUGCAAUUCAUAUUUAGAUUAUGCACAUUAAAAGUCCAGAAACUCAAUUAAUGUAUAAAAAGGCCAAAUGAACCCGAAAUAAUUCCAAAAUUUAACAGGGCACUCAUAUAGUUCUAUGUUGCCUCUGUAAAUAAAAUCAGGGGGGAGGCAGCUUAUAUCGUUUCGCACACAAAGGUGACACGUUCCCUCUCGGAACCACGAGGCUUGUUGAGAGAAUCUCCGGUUUUGCAAGAGGCUUAUACCAAAACUUGUCCCAAUUCAGCCAAAAAUUAUACAUAUGAAAACAUGGUUUAGAUUAUCCCGAACAUCUCGCUACCUAGACCAAUAAUGUACUAUGAUUUGAAUUCAACAUAAAAUGGAUAUAGAUAUUUGAAUUGGAGAGCGUAUGGUACAUGUAGUUCAUAAUGAAAUAUGAUUACUGCCAUAUGCAUGUCUUUUUAUUAUCAAGAUAAUAUUUAAAUUAUUGUAUAACUUGACAACAAUCGUAUUCAAAUAAGGAAAAUUGAUUCAAAUUUAGUCCAUAUGGUAGACGACAAUAUAUAUGUUCACAUGGUGGAGUAAAAUGUUCAUAUAUGAUGGAAGAUCAAAAUGUAUGACUACAUCAAUUAUAAACCGCAAGGUCAUCUAAUGAUAUAUUCGAAUUCAACAUAACGUGGAUUCAAAAAUUGAAAUUUGAGAUCAUGGCAUCUGUAAUCAUAUAAAAAGGGACAUUACUCUUUCUUUGGUGGGAAUUGAUUUGUUUUUUGUUGUUGUUGAGGGAAGUGCGAAUCGAUUUGGUACUGUGCAGGGUAAUCAUGUUCUCCCGAUUUUUUUUACAUUUUUCUUGUAGUUUUUUCAAUGGCAUCUAUAGCAAUAUAGUAAAAGGGGACAUGACUCUCUUGUGUCUUGUAUGAUUUUUUUACACGUUAAGUUUGUUCUGCCGAACAAGGAAUCUGCACCUUGUUAUCCCGAAAUUUUCAAGCUCGAGUAUCUUUUGUCUCACCUGCUUUGAAACUCCCGCUUCUUCAACCCGCGUCGCGCCUUGUUAUCCCGAAAUUUGGACGUGCGCGAGAACUCCCUCCUCAUCCGAAAUCGCUACCGCAGCCCAGACACGCGAAAUCCCCCUUCUACCCCUCAGCCGGAAAUGAAGCUCCACGUCGCGGUGUCAAAACCGGUGGGGGUACGCUGGUAACUUACCCUACAUUUCGGACAAGUGCGUCCCUAAGCUUGGAUCCCCCCUCCCCCUUCGCCCCUCCUCCCCCCCCCCAUUNNNNNNNNNNNNNNNNNNNNNNNNNNNNNNNNNNNNNNNNNNNNNNNNNNNNNNNNNNNNNNNNNNNNNNNNNNNNNNNNNNNNNNNNNNNNNNNNNNNNNNNNNNNNNNNNNNNNNNNNNNNNNNNNNNNNNNNNNNNNNNNNNNNNNNNNNNNNNNNNNNNNNNNNNNNNNNNNNNNNNNNNNNNNNNNNNNNNNNNNNNNNNNNNNNNNNNNNNNNNNNNNNNNNNNNNNNNNNNNNNNNNNNNNNNNNNNNNNNNNNNNNNNNNNNNNNNNNNNNNNNNNNNNNNNNNNNNNNNNNNNNNNNNNNNNNNNNNNNNNNNNNNNNNNNNNNNNNNNNNNNNNNNNNNNNNNNNNNNNNNNNNNNNUCAUCCACCGCACCGGAUGAGGAUUUGCUGUCGAUCUCGUCGUCCCGCCGGAUCAGCUGCCCCGUCCUCCACCUCCAAGGAGCUGCCCUGACGUUUGCCUCGUCUAUCGCGCCACCUCAAUCCCCCACAGCGCCGUCUUGACCUGCCCCACCGGAACCGCAGCACCCUCACCAAUUCCUCCAAUGAAGCCGAGGCCAACUCGGCGCCACCAAGGAGGUUCUGCACUCACCGCUGCAUUUUAUCUUUUAUUCGAUCUCACGGGGCUGCCGGUGCUCGAUACCGAGCAGACAUGGCGUCUCCAUCGACGGCGCCGUCGCCGGACACAUCAUCCAUGACGUCUCUCCCCCAUGUCGUUGCUUCCUUGGCGGUGACUUCCACAACAGCACUAGCUGCAGCUGCUCCGGCUCUCGCUCGCGCUGCGGCUCUGUUCUUGCUGUCGGUCACGCUGCUGCACUGCUCCUGCUUUCGUUCGUGCUGCUGCUCUGCUCUUGCUCUCGCUUGUGCUGCUGCUGCUGCUGCAAGACCUUCGGCAGCUACAGGAGUUGCUGCUUUAGCACUCGCUCGCGGUGCUACUGCACGACUUGCUCUCUGCUAGUGCGUUCACUACUCGAUUGUCUGCUAAUUUAGAUCACUGCUUCUCUGCUACUAGUGCUCGAACGCCCUAAACAUCUAUUGCAAUGCUCUGUUACUAGUUCAUUCAGUUUCGACAGUAAAAUUCAGUUUUGACUGUGAAGUUCAUUUUCUUCAGUUAAGUUCAGAGUGAACAGUACUUACAGCAUCUGUCGGAGCGGCCGUGGCGCGGCUGAUGCGUUUUACAUAUAGCACUUUUUAGUGAUGUAUUUUACAUCAUCUAUUGUAGAUGAUAUUAGGGUCCCACUUCAGAUUAAAGUUGUCUGUCUUGUCAUGCUUCAUCCUCGUCACCGUACACCUUAGCGGAGCUGCUCCAACGACAGAAUCGUCCAUCACAGCGGAGCAACACCCUCGGCGCCGUUUCCAGAGGCCUCGGAUCUUCUUCCCGCCUCCGACAGUCACACCAGCAUCAUCACCAUCCUCCAUGUCCAACCCAAUGAUGCUGAGGUCCACAAGGCUAUGCCAAAGAGGUUGUACACUCGUCGCGUCACUUUGUUUCUCCAUUCCUCUCUUCUUCCAAUUCAUGUGAGCCAAACACCCAGGUUGACUGAAAUCCUAUGUUUCCAAAUGCUCUGUUUUGCACGUGCAUUCCUAUCCUAUUCCUGUGUUUUUCCUGUCCCUGCGAUAGAAUCCUCCAAUUCUAAGGAGCCCUUACAUAUUUACUUCAUUUUCAUAUUGGCGUCAAAGAAAACUCUGUGUGUUAUGUCCUGCUCCUGCCGUGCCGUCAUCCACCCCACCUGAGGUGCGCCAUCGACAGAAGCGUUCACUGCAGCAGAGAUCCCCCUGCAGACUUUCUUUCGCCGCCUCAGAUCAUCUUCCCCAUUGCCGGCAGCCACGCCAACUACAUUACCAUCAUCGACUGAGCAGAUGAACCUGAGGACUAGACAGUUCUGGAAGAGAGGUCGCAGUCUUUCGUGUUUGCUUACGUUAUACAUUGGUUAUUAUUACCUGCUACUUUAUCGUUCAAUCUUGAGUUUUGAAUUGCCCAUGGGUCUCAUAUCGAGCCAGCAACAAAUAGUAUCUGUCUACUAUAUGGUUCAUCUGGGGUCUUCUAUGUGGUUCAUGUUGGGUGGGCAACAAACAAUAGAUGAUCCAUUGUCUAUCUUUUUAAACUGAAGCUAUAAUCUACCUGCUAUCAUUAGUUUUGGAUCCAUCCACUCAUUUUCUACCAUCAGUCUUGAUUUUUGCAUGCACCCCUUAGGCCUUACAAAAUCUAACUGUUUUUUUAUUAUGCAUGUCAGAUAUUGUACACAAUCGUACUGAACAUGUAGAGAAAAAGAGAAGACCGUUGCGUGCGAAUAUAAUGUCAUGCAGAUGCUGCUCCAUGGUGGGCGAAGUGCCCCCCCCUCUCCUGCAUUUCCAGAUUGUAUUCUAGAGGAAUAUAACUGUUCAGAUGGGGAUUCAGAAGGAGCCAACCAUGCCUGUUUACCACCUGAGGUGUUUGCUCUAACCUGGCAUGUUGAUGUUGGUCAUAUCAUGCAUAUGGCGCCUUGCAUUGCUUACAUUAUACAUCGUAUAUGUCAUCAGCUUAGUUUAGAUUUGCUUUGUGUGAAUGCCACCUGUUUGGUUUCUAUAUCAUACUCCCACCAUUCCUAAAUAUUUGUCUUUUUAGAGAUUUCAACAAGUGACUACAUACGGAACAAAAUGAGUGAAUCUACACUCUAAAAUAUGUCUAUAUACAUCUGUAUGUGGUAGUCCAUUUGAAAUCUAUAAAAAGAAAAAUAUUUAGGAACAGAGGGAGUAUAUGGGAAUUAUGCAAUGCCAUCUUCUUUAGCCAGGCAUCAUAUACGUGAAUCAUACAAUGCCAUCCUGUUUAGCCAGUCAUCGUAUAUGUGAAUUGUAUCGUGCCAUAUUUUUUCCAUAAUGUGUUCCAUUUGUCAACAAUGUUUAUACAUUCAUCUACUCUUCCUGUGCAUCAGCCAUUUGAGUCGGUCAUGGGAAAAUCUGGAGUGAAAAUAAGGUCUUCUGAGCAGUCAGUGCUACCUGUCGAUGCAGAUUUCUUGCUGGUUACAGAUAGCUCCUCAGAGGAGGAUUCAGAGAGAGAUGACCAGUCGUAUCCCCCCCCCCCCGAGGUGCAUGCUCUAACUUGGCUGGGUUAUAUUGCUCAUAUCAUGCAUAUGGUGUCUUGCAUUGCCAUGCCAUCUGCUUAGAUUAGACAUGCUUUGUGUGAAUGCCUCAUGUUUGCUUUCUAUAUCAGAUAUGUGAAUUAUGCAAUGCCAUGUUUUUCAGCCAGUUAUCAUAUAUGUGAAUUAUGCACCGCCAUGGAGCCAGGCAUCAUAUAUGUGAAUUAUCUCAUGCCAUCUUUUUUUUUCAUUACGUAUUCCAUUUAUUGACAAUCUAUGUAUAUUGAACUACUCUUCAUGUGUAUCAGCCAUUUGAGCCGGUUAUGAAAAACUCUGGAGUGAAAACAAGGUCUUCAGAGCAGGCAAUGGUACAUGUUGAAGCAUAUAUCUUGAUGGUUACAGGGAGCUCCUCGGAGGAGGAUUCAGAGACAGAUGACCAGUCCUAUAUCCCACCUGAGGUGUAUGCUCUAAGUUGCAAUGUUUAUAUUUCUCAUAUGAUGCAUAUAGUGUCUUGCAUUGCUUAGUUUAGACAUCAUAUGCACAAUAUUGAAUUCUAUCUGCUUAGUUUAGAGAUCAUACAUGCGAGUGCCAGGUGCUUAGUAUAUGAAUCAAUUAUGUCAAUUAUAUCAUGCCAUCAUGUAUACUUGGACAACAUGUAUGUGAAUUAUUUCAUCCCAACCUAUUUUAGAAAGACAUCAUAUAGUUUUGUCAUGUCAUCCUGUUUAGGUACUCAUCAUAUGUUGAAUUAUGCCAUUAUAUCCUGUUAAGUUAUCCAUCAUAUAUCUGAAACUGUGUCAUGCUAUCCUGUUUAGUUAGGCAUCAUAUAUGUGAAAUUGUGCCAUGUUGUCCUGUUUGGUUAGACAACAUAUAUGUGAAUUACCACAUCUGUCUAUCAUACAAUGUCUGUACGUUCAAUUUCUUUUCUUAUUUAUCAGCCAUUUGAAUUGGAGUGGGUGAUGGCAGUAUCUAAGGGAGCAAAACCCCGUUCUUCACAAAAUACAGUGCUACCCGUCGAUGCAGAUAGAACCAUGGUUGUACUGGCCCACAAACUAGCCCCACCACACAUAAUCGAGACUCUUCCAGAUUGCACACUUACACCGUUGGGCAGAGAACCAGCUACAACCCAUCUAACCGCAACCCCAGCGGAUAGUAACCCACUUAUAGUUGACAAAGCACCAUGUCCACCACAGAGUAGCCCCACACGAGCAGUUUGUAAAGCUACUGCAGUGCCCAAAGCACGAAGACCACCACAGCCAACCCAAACUCCAUGUUUAAAGCAGAAGAGCAACUGUUCUCAGGUCAGAUUCCGUAGCUAUGGUCCAUACUCCUUUGCUGUUGCAUCACUGUAUUUACUCAUACCAACUACUUUCGAAUUUGAAGGAUCCAAUUGAAACUCCAAUGGCGCAACAGGUAUGUUUUAAACCUAUUUCUUUAACUGGAUUGUUGUUCUAACUUCUUGCUCUAUGUUGAUUUCAGUUUAAGUUGUAUAAACAGUUAUGUUCUCAUGUGAUGCACAUUACAAGUGCUGCCAAUGUUGUGUAGUUUCUCACACUUAUAUUUUGUCUAUGCUGUUGUGUCUUAAAAAUAUAUGAGUUGAACUGUGUCUCUAUCUUGAUUAGGGAACAUAAACUAGAAUGAUAUGGACAAUACAGUGACCAUAGUACAUAGAUAUAUGUUUGUUUCAUGCUGUUAUCCUGUCCACCUUACUACUGAACCGGUUUACCAAAAUGAGUUUGGUAUACUACAAGCUAUACCUGUGAUGUGUCUGCUUGUUUCUCUUGUAGUAUGCAAACAGAAUAUUGGAGAAGAGCACCCCACUAUGCAAUGGUAGAUAAAGUAAUGCAGAUAAGGUUCAAGAUAGUGAGACAACCAUGUUGGUCUCCAAGAAAGGUGAUAAAAAUGAUCUUGUAGACAGUGAGAAAACCCCACAGUCCUGCGUUGAUGUAGUGUUCGAGUUACUGGCCAGUACCGCUGGCACAUGCUCUUCGAACUCGCUGCCUGAAUCACUUUGGCUUCUUCAGUCUCAGCUACAAGCUGAAAGGCAUCAGUCAUCUGUGCUGCGGCAAGAAGCCGAAGGACUAAGGAAGUCCCUCAGAAUUCAGAUGCGUACUUUCUUGUGCAACAGCAAGCGCUGGAGGAUUUAAGCGCCAAACAAGAGAAAGUUAAUAAGCUUUCUAAGCAUCUUGCCAGCAUUAUGGGUACCCAGGAUAUUUUUUCUUGAACUCUUCUGAACUGGUUUCAGUUCUGGACUUGUUUUGCUGCGGCGUUUAUAUGUUGUUGUGUUCCCUAUAUUUGCACUGGUGGUGAACUUUGAUGCCCAGUGGAUGUAAUAUGUGUAAUAGCCGUGAUAGCCUAGCAUAAGUUGCUUGCUUAUUUAUUUCCUUGUUGUCUUGUUUAUUUGUUUUCUUGUAGUCAGUGCAGUUCUUUUUCCGCGGUUUGCUAGUUGCUGCAAUAACCUAUUUUUUAAAACUAGGCCACAAUAACCAUGGGCUAAUAUUUAUUGUAGUGACACUGGGCCUCCUAUGGGCCGUAGAAAUAGUGGGCCUUCUACGGGCCGUAGAAACAGUAGGCCUUCUACGGGCUGUAGAAACAUUGGGCCUUCUACGGGUCGUAGAAACAAUGGGCCUUCUACGGGCCCUAUCAUCAAUGGGCCUUAUACGGGUCGUAUCAUCGAUUGGCCAAACAUGGGCCGAUAACAGGACGCAUUAUGGCCAUAAACGGGCUAGAGUUGGAAUCGUCCGUUCAUGGGCCGACCAUAACGGGCCAUCGUUAAUAGGCUGUAUUUGAUGACGCUAUGAAAACGGCCCAAUGUAUUAAUGGACCACAAAUGGGCCGACUGUAACCACGGGCCGAAUUUGGCCCACAAGCAGAAAAUUACAGUAACGAGCCGUAAGUAAACGAAUGCUCGAAAUGAGCCCAAGAAUAAAUGAGCUCUGAGAAGGCCGAAAGAUAACAUGGGCUGGAAACGGCCCAACUGAAUAAUGGGCCAUUAAUGGGUAUAAAGUGAUACACUGUUCAUUAUGGGCCAGUUUCACCACGGGCCGUUAAUGGGUCUAAAGUGAUACACUGUUCAUUGCGGGCCAGUUUCACCAUGGGCCGUUAAUAGGCCAAGAGUUACAUAGGGCCUCAUAUGGGCCGAAAGACGUCAUGGGCCAUACAUGGGCCAGAAGUGAAAACGGGCUGGAAUCAUAUUGGAUGGCCCAGAUGACGCUACUUGGCCUAAUUCGGGUAGGGCGUAACGGGCCUUGGGUUAGCGGGCUGUAAAUGGGCUAUAUGCGAACAGGCCGUUAACAGGCUUUCCAUGGGCCGGCCCGUCACCUUUUGACCAAGUCAAACGGGCCGGCCUUUUCACAGGAAUGGGCCUCUGUUGGGCCGGGCCACGUGUCGACGUAUCAUAGGCACCUUCUGUCCAAUGAGUGGAUGACAUCUGUCCCAACAAUGAGCCGACACGUGUUUCCUCCAGCCAAUGACGAUUUUACACAUGGAAAUCCCCAUUGGUCGGGCUGUUAACAGGUUAUCGGAUCCAAAACCCAACCCGAUAGCUUAACGGUGUUCCGUUACGGUGGAUGCCACGUGUCAGUCACCCUUGACGAAAGCACUUCUGUGACGCGCGAUUUAUCGUCUUGGAAGUGGACACUUCCGUGAUGAUAAUUUUGGUAAUGUCAUGGAACACUUCUACGACAGCACAGGUAUGACUAUCUUGAUUCUGUCAUAAAUUUGUCAUGGAUGUGCAUGCAUGACAAAAAACGCGACCUACUGUGACAAACACGUAUCAUCACGGAAGUGUAUUUUUUUGUAGUGGGAGGUAAGGAACUGCCAUCUAGCUCUGCACUAGAUUCUCCUUAUUUUAUGAGUAAGCUUGCGACACCUAAACUGCUUCUCCUAUUAAUUCGGAUAUGUCGCAUGUUAUUGAUGAUGCCACUUCUAUUAUGCAUGAUACUUAUGAUGAAACUACUUCUGUGCUUGAUACUACUGUGCCAUUAGGUGAAUAUCUUGAUGAACAACUUGCUAGUGUUAGAGAGAAUGAAAUUCUUGAAACUAAUAUUAUUGAAGAUAGUGAUGAUGAAGGUUAUCCCCCUAAAUAUGAAUUGCAUGUUGUUCCAGAGGGUUAUGUUAUGGAUGAAGAAACUGCUAGAAAUUUUGUUGCUUGCAAUGAUAGAUCUAAUCUUAAGAAGUUAUUAGCUAAGAUGAAACAAAAAACUCUGAAUGCUAGAAUGAAAUAUGACCCUGCUUUUGCUACUUCACCUAUCUUUGUUACUGAUAAGGAUUAUGAAUUCUUUGUCGAUCCUGAGAUAAUUACUUUGGUUAAAUCUAAUCCUUUUUAUGGCUAUGAAUCUGAAACUGUUGUGGCACAUCUUACUAAAUUGAAUGAUAUAGCCACCCUGUUCACUAAUAAUGAGAAAUCUCGCUACUACUAUAUCCUUAAGAUAUUUCCAUUCUCAUUAAAGGGUGAUGCUAAAACUUGGUUUAAUUCUCUUGUUCAUGGUUGUGUGCGUAGUCCCCAGGAUAUGAUUUAUUACUUCUCUGCUAAAUAUUUCCAUGCUCAUAAGAAACAAGCUGCCUUAAGGGAAAUAUAUAAUUUUGUGCAAAUUGAAGAAGAGAGUCUCCCACAAGCUUGGGGAGGCUUCUCCGGUUACUUAAUGCUUUGCCUGAUCAUCCUCUUAAGAAAAAUGAAAUACUUGAUAUCUUUUAUAAUGGACUAACUGAUGCUUCCAAGGACCACUUGGAUAGUUGUGCUGGUUGUGUUUUCAGGGAAAGAACAGUCGAUCAAGCGGAAUUGCUAUUGAAUAAUACGUUGACUAAUGAAAAUAAUUGGACUCUUCCUGAGCCAAUUCCUGAGCCUACUCCUAAACCAACUCCGAAGAAGAGGGGUGUUCUAGUUCUCAGUCCUGAAGAUAUGCAAGAGGCAAAGAAAUCUAUGAAAUAAAAAGGUAUUAAAGCUGAAGAUGUUAAGAAUUUACCUCUUGUUGAAGAAAUACAUGGUCUUAAUGUACCACCUAUUGAAAAAAUGCAUGGUCUUGAUAACCCGACAUAGGUAGUAAAGGUAAACUCUCUCUAUAGAUAUGAUAAAGUUGAAAUCUCGUCUACUAAGUUUGCUAGCCAAUGUUUGGAUAAAUUUGAUGACUUUAUGGCUAGACAAGAAAAUUUCAAUGCUUAUGUUGGUAGACAAUUAAAGAGUAAUGCUUACAUGAUUGGACACUUGAGUGAUUAUAUGGCUAGAGUUAAAGGUGAACUUAAACUCAUUAGUAAAUAUGCUUCUAUGGUCACCACUCAAGCAGAAUAAGUACUUAAAGCUCAAAGUGAUUUGCUCGAUGAAUUAAAUAAUAAACAUGACUUUGCUGUUAGAGUGGCUACUAGAACGGGUAAAAUGACUGAGGAACCUUUGUAUCCUGAAGGCCACCCUAAGAGAAUUGAGCGAGAUUCUCAGAGAAAUAAUGUAGAUGCACCUAGUCCCUCUAAAAAGAAGAACAAGAAAAAUGAUAGUACUUUCCAUGCUUCUAGUGAACCUGUUGUAGGCACACCUAAGAAUCCCAAUGACAUUUAUAUGUAUGAUGCUGAAACACAAUCUGGUGAUGAACAUGAACCUAGUGAUAAUGUAAAUGAUAAUGUUCAUGUUGAUGCUCAACCUAGCAAUAAUAAUGAUGUAGAGAUUGAACCUGUUGUUGAUCUUGAUAACCCACAAUCAAAGAAUCAACGUUAUGAUAAGAGAGACUUUGUUGCUAGGAAGCACGGUAAAGAAAGAGAGCCAUGGGUUCAGAAACCCAUGCAUUUCCCUCCUAAUCCAUGCAAGAAAAAGGAUGAUGAGGAUUUUGAGCGCUUUGCUAAAAUGAUUAGACCUAUCUUUUUGCGUAUGUGUUUGACUGAUAUGCUUAAAGUGAAUCCUUAUGCGAAAUACAUGAAAGAUAUCAUUACAAAUAAAAGAAAGAUACCGAAAGCUGAAAUUUCCACCAUGCUUGCUAAUUAUACCCAUUAUACUUUUAAGGGUGGAAUACCAAAGAAACUUGGAGAUCCAGGAGUACCAACUAUACCAUGCUCCAUUAAAAGAAGCUAUGUUAAAACUGCUUUAUGUGAUCUUGGAGCCGGUGUUAGUGUUAUGCCUCUCUCUUUAUAUCGUAGACUUGAAUUGAAUAAGUUGACACCUACUGAAAUAUCUUUGCAAAUGGCUGAUAAAUCAGCUGCUAUACAUGUCGGUAUUUGUGAGGAUGUGCCUCUUGUGGUUACAAACGUUACUAUCUUAACGGACUUUGUUAUUCUUGAUAUUCCCGAGGACGAUAGUAUGUCGCUUAUCCUUGGUAGACCCUUUUUGAAUACUGCAGGGGCUGUUAUUGAUUGCAACAAAGGCAAUGUCAUUUUCAUGUUAAUGGUAAUGAGCAUACGGUACACUUUCCGAGGAAACAACCUCAAGUUUACAGUAUCAAUUCUAUUGGGAAAAUUCCAACUAUCAUUAUUGGAGGUUUUGAAUUUCCUCUUCCUACUGUCAAGAAGAAAUAUGAUAUUCUUAUUAUUGGGGAUGUGCAUAUCCCGUUGAGGUAACCUAGUGUUAUUCGAAAUUUCUCCGGUUCCAUGUUAUUUGGAAUGAGUUCGUUAACAAGACCUGAUCAACCUUGUUAGUGGAUUCCUUCUGAUGAGCAUGAGAUGGAUGAAAUUAGAGGCACAACCUUCUGUACCCUCCUUUUAACUUCUGUUAUUUAGAUUAAAUAAAGUAAAAUUAGUAUUUUCUGUCUGCUUUCUGAAUUAUCCAUGCAAUAAAAUAUACCCUAAAAAUAAAAGUUCUCCAAAUGCCCUGCAAAUUUAGUAUGAUUUUUUCUGGAAUAUUUGAGAAUAUCUAGCACUGAGAACACAGCAUGAGGAGCUGGCACCUGGCCACGAGGGUCCAGGGAGCGCCCCCUGCCUCGUGCGCCCAAGGUGGCCCCCCUCCACUUAUUCCUGCACCCACACACUUCUUCUUCCUCCCAAAAAAUCACAAUCCAGCUCAAGCACGAGUUCUAGCUCACUUUGCUGCUAUUUUUGAUCUCCUUGCUCAAAGCUCCAUUCACAAAACUGCUUUGGGGGAUUGUUCUUUGGUAUGUGACUCCUCCAAUUAUCCAAUUAGUUUUUGUUCUAGUGCUUUAUUCAUUGCAAAUAUUUGCUGCGGAAAGUACAAUAUGAGAAAGCACGCAAUGAUGAACUAUGCUUGAAAAUUGGUGCAAACAUUGAUGUUCAUGCUAAAGAUCUUGCCUCCUUGAAAAAGGCCAAGGACUCUUGUGUAGAGUUGAUGAAUGAUAAAAGUAAGCUUGUGAAGUCUCAUGCUUCUCUCUCUAAGGAUUGUGAGCUCCUAUCCGUGUCCCUCAAGACUAAGGAAGAAGAGCUCACCCUUCUUACAAAGAGUUUUGAGACGCUCAAGCUUACUUAUCUUGAAACUUACUCUUCUCCUAUUAUUAAUGUUGAGGCUUGUACUACUAACUAUAGUAGUGAUGUAGCAUCUAUUCUUGAGGAGAAUCGCUUUCUCAAAGCUCAAAUCAAGAAAGGUCUCAUGACAUGUGCUCAAGGACAAAAAGAACCUUAAUGAGGUGUUGAGCCAACACAAUCAGGUGUUUGCCAAAGAGGGGCUCGGGUUUGAGCCAAGCACAAGAAAGAAAAAGUUGUCCUCUCAAAAGUGCACAACCCCUCUAAGGGAAACAUUUGUACGAGAAGGGCACAAGGAGAAAGGUAAGGUUGUUAGUGGGAAGGCCACAAGGGGCAUGCCCACUCUCAACAAGCCAAAAGAGUUCAUGCCUCCAUCCUAUGUACUUCGUAAGACUAAGGAUGGAGAAGUUUAUGCAAAAUUUGUUGGUCCUCAAAAUGCAUUCUGAUUCUAUGCUAUUUGGGUCCCUAAGACCCUUGUGACUAACUUGAAAGGUACCAUUGCAAAAUGGGUGCCUCUAACCAAGUCAUAAUUGUGUGUAGGUUGCCUUCUCCAGUGGAGUAAAAUGGGUGAUUGAUAGUGGAUGUACCAAUCAUAUGACCGGAGAUAGCAAAUUUCUCUAUGAUUUCAUGGAAGCUAUUCAACCAUUCAUGAGCAUUAUGUUUGGUGGAGGUUCAAAAGGACAGGUACUCGGGUUGGGCAAGGUGGCUAUCACAAAUGACAUGUCUCUAGCAAAUGUCAUGCUUGUUCAAUCCCUUAAAUACCAUUUGCUUUCCGUUUGCCAAUUGGCUUCUGUUGGUUAUGAUACACUCUUUGGACUAAUGGAUGUGAAAGUCUUUAAGAGAGAUACUCUCGAAGUGGCCUUUGUUGGAGAGUUGGAUGGCAACCUUUACACGGUUGAUUUCUCAAAACAGAGCACAUUCCAUGCAACUUGUCUAAUGGCCAAGGCCGACAAGGGGUGGCUCUGGCAUCGCCGGCUAGCCCAUGUCAGCAUGAGAAAUCUUAAAGAUCUCUUAAAGGGUAAUCACAUCCUUGGACUAACCAAUGUCUCUUUUGAGAAAGAUCGUGUGUGUAGUGCAUGCAUAGCCGAAAAGCAACAUCAAUCAAAACACCCACCCAAGAAUAUCGUGUCUACUUCAAGGCGUUUGGAGCUCCUUCAUGUGGAUCUUUUUGGGCCUCCUUCAUGGGAUAGUCUUGGUGGAAAAAAGUAUGGAUUGUCAUUGUUGAUGAUUACUCAAGGUAUACAUGGGUGUUUUUCCUCAAGUCCAAGGACGAGACGAAGAUCACAUUCAUUGAUUUUGCCAAGAAAGCACAACGCAAGUUUGACAAAGAAAUCUUGGUAAUAAGAAGUGAUAAUGGCUCUGAGUUCAAGAACUAUACCUUGGAACAAUUUCUUAGUGAUGAAGGGAUUGAGCAUCAAUAUUCAGCUCCAUACACUCCUCAGCAAAAUGGUGUAGCCAAAAGGAAGAACCGUACACUUGUGGAGAUGGCAAGGUCCAUGUUGGAUGAAUACAAGUCGUCACAUAUUUUUUGGGCCGAGGCUGUCAACACUGCAUGCCAUGCAUCAAACCGGCUCUUCCUCCGCACUAUAUUGGAAAAGACUCCAUAUGAACUCUUAACUGGGAACGAGCCAAAUGUUAAGUACUUUCGUGUAUUUGGGUGCAAAUGUUUCAUCCUCAACAAAAGAGAAUGGUUAGGAAUCAAUCCAAAACAAUUGAGGGCGUAUUUGUUGGCUAUGGAUCAAACUCUCACGCCUAUAGAGUCUACAACAAAUCCAAUGGAUGUGUUGUAGAAACUUGUGACGUGGUGUUUGAUGAAUUUAAUGGCUCCCAUGGGGAGCAAGUUGAUCUAAGUGAUGUAGGUGAAGAAGAUUCUUCUCAAUAUAUUUUAACCAUGGGUGUUGGUGCACUUCUUCUAAUGGAACAAGAACCUCAUCAUGAUGAAGAAGAAGAUGGAAGCUUCACACAUCAUCAAACUACUUCAACACCCAUACCACCACAAGCUCCUAUUGCUCAACCAAUGCCCUUAGUCCAAGUACAAGAAGAUGAUCAAGUCCCUCUUCAUGAUAAUCUUCAAGAACAAGAUCAUCAUCAAGGGCAAGAACAAGAAAGUGCAAUCAUUGAUGAUGAACCUCAACAAAUGCAAUAUGAAGAAGAAGAUCUUCCACCACACAUUAAUGAUCCAUAUGUUGAGGACGUGGAUGAUGGGCAUGAAGUUGAACCUCGAGAAACCCUAACCUCCAUAAUGCCUCGAGUGGCCGGUUGUGCUGAUGUUGACAAAAUUCUCACUGGUAUAUCGGAAGGUAGAGUCACUCGUAAACAUUUGGCAAACUUUUGUGCUCACUUCUCGUUUGUGUCUAGUGUUGAGCCUCUCAAGGUACAAGAUGCAUUGAUGCACAAUGGUUGGCUCGUUGCUAUGCAAGAAGAGUCGAACAGUUUUGAAUGCAACCAAGUGUGGUCAUUAGUCGAGAGGCCAACUACAGAGCACAAUGUCAUUGGAACAAAAUGGAUUUUCAAGAACAAGCAAGAUGAGAAUGGUGUAAUCAUCCGUAACAAGGCAAGGUUAGUGGCACAAGGGUACUCACAAGUUGAAGGUAUGGACUUUGGUGAGACCUUUGCCCCCGUUUCCCAUCUUGAAUCCAUUCGCAUCUUACUUGCUUAUGCUGCUUUAAAUGGUUUUACAUUACAUCAAAUGGAUGUGAAGAGUGCUUUCCUUAAUGGUCCUCUACAAGAAGAAGUAUAUGUGUCACAACCGCCUGGGUUUGUUGAUCCGGAUCACAAAGACUAUGUGUAUAAACUUCAUAAGGCUUUGUAUGGCCUCAAACAAGCACCUCGUGUUUGGUAUGAUCAUCUUAAGAAGUUUUUACUCGAUGAUGGUUUUGUGAGAGGGGUGAUCGAUCCCACUCUUUUUACUAAGAGGGACAAGGGUGAUUUGAUCUUAUGCCAAAUCUAUGUAGACGAUAUCAUUUUUGGUUCUCCUAACAUUCAUUUGUGCAAGAAGUUUGCGGCUUCCAUGGCCAAGAAUUUUGAAAUGUCACUCAAUGCGGAUUUGAAGUUCUUUCUUAGAUUUCAAAUUCAACAAUUUCAAGAAGGAAUUUUCUUGUCUCAAGCAAAAUACCUCAAGGAUAUCCUAGAGAAGUUUGGCAUGACUGAUACUAGUCCAUGUAAGACACCCAUGCCAAACAAAUUUGUACUCAGUGAAGACACCAACAGUAUUCCUUUCAACCCAUCUAAAUACCGCUCUAUGAUUGGUUCAUUGAUUUAUCUUUGUGAAUCUAGACUAGACAUCAUGUUCAGUGUAUGCAUGUGUGCUAGAUUUCAAGCUUCCCCUAGGGAAAGUCAUCAUAAAGCGGUUAAGCAUAUUCUUAGAUACCUUGUUCACACCCCAAAGUUGGGUCUAUGAUACCCCAAGGAUACUAAGUUUGAUCUCGUUGGGUACACGGAUGCGGAUUGGGCAGGAGACAAAGUGGAUCAUAAGUCCACCUCUGGUGCAUGUCAAUUUCUUGGACGCUCCUUGGCAAGUUGGUCCUCGAAGAAACAAAAUUGUGUUACCCUCUCCACCGCCGAAGCUAAAUACAUUGCAACCACCAGUUGUGCAACUUAAUUACUAUGGAUGAGGCAAACUUUGAAGGAUUACGGUAUCACCGAUAGACAUGUGCCUCUUCUAUGUGAUAAUGAAAGUGCCAUCAAUAUUGCUGAGAACCCCAAAGAUCAUACCCACACAAAGCACAUUGAUAUUAGGUAUCACUUCUUGUGAGAUCAUGUGGAGAAGGGUGAUAUUUACAUUGCUCAUGUUGGCACAGAUAUGCAAAUUGCAGAUAUUUUCACCAAGCCAUUGGAUGAAGCAAGGUUUUGUCAACUUAGGCGUGAACUUGGUAUCUUGGAGCUUGACAAUAUUAUGUGAAAUCUAGUACUCAUUCAUGCAUGAACUUAAUGUCUUGUCUUGAUGUAGGCAUAUAUUUAGGGGGAGACAUUCAAUUCAUGAGUUUUCUCACCCUACAUAAUGCAUAAAUAGAGCAAACACUCUGAAAGUUAUCAUGGUUCUUGAACUAUGGUGCUUUAACAUGAUGGAGUCGUGACUACGUGCCCAAAGUCUACAUCUUUGUGGUACUAUGUUCCAUAUGCUCAAACAUGGUGACCUCCGUCACCGCUUGUGAAUUGCUUAUAUGGACCUUUCGUUCCUUAAUAUUGUUGGGUUGUUAUUACAUCUUAGUAUGGCCUUAGAUUACUCAGGUUUUCACCCCUAUAAUUCUCUGAAAACUCCUUGGCGGAGUCUAUAUCAAAUUAUGUUGGUUGAUCCCUUACAAAUCGUUCCCCUGCCUGGUCUCUCUGUCCAGCGGCCGGACAUCCGGCUCCUAAGUCGGACAUCCGGGCCCUGGGAAAAUUCUUCUGCUGCUCAAAUUGCCAUUGGGCAUUUCCAGUGGCGGGACAUCCGGGCCCUGAACCUUUUGCUCCCUGACCUCCACACGUCGGAUAUCCGGGCUUGUCCUCGGAUGUCCGGCCCGUUGGCCUUGGUUUUUCUGCUCUCUGACCUCCGAUCGCCGGAUAUCCGGGCCAGGACCCCGAAUAUCCGGCCCGUCGCCUGCAGCCACACAUAACAGGGGAGGGACUCGGGAUUUGGGGGCAGUUCCCCAUUCACUCAUGUUCCUCCCCUCAUCUUGUCACACAGCCGCCACCACCGCUGGGCUAUGCUCUGGCGCUGCCCCAGCCCUCUCCUCCAUUCUCCGGCCCCGAUCUCCUGCCCACGGAUUCACCUCCUCUCGAUCUACGGUUCUAUCCAGUCCAUUUCUUGGGUUGUGGUGUGAAUCUCUCGGGAGGGACCGAUGUAUUGCGGGAUUAACCGCCAGAGUUCCUCAUGGUGCGGACCAAGAACUGCGGCCCCGAGCCUUCUUCACGGGGUAUAGAUGCUAUCUCUCUUGCAUUCUUCUCUUGUUGUGACCAAAUCAUCUUAGGGCUUCAUUGUCUCUCAUGUAUAUCUUGGCGUAUAUACCUCUCUAGAGUCUUGGUGUCUCUUGCCCUAGCCUCAAAGCCUCUCUAUGCACUUGGCUAAACUACUUAAUCUGGGAACACCGAUAUUAUUGAUCUACCACUUGGACUUCUUCCUAUGGUCAUGUUCAAAAAUAUUCACUUUCACGUGGUUAAUUACUUUAUCCUUGUGCAUAAUUCCUCUUGACUCCUUCUUAUUGGUAUCUCUGGUGUAUUCGUUACAGUCGAUCGCAGGCAAGGCUCCACUGACUCCGAAGAACAUGCUCGACCUAAGAAGAAGACGACCACCACCGGACCUAAGAAGAAGACGACCACCACCAAGAAGAAGAAGUGGGCUCCAUCCACAAGUCCGUCAGCCUCUGACCAGGAUGAUGAGGACUAUGUUGGGGAGGAAGAGGAUGACAUUGCUCCAAGACACUCUGUUGGCCAGUCAAAACCAGGCACUCGCAGGGCUCCCGUGCCUCAGGUUCGUGGUGUUGCCAUGCCCGUUGUCCAUGGUCGUCACAUCUCCAUGGAGCUUCCCGACAGCAGGGACCGCCCCACACACGACUUCACCACCGUGGGGGCUCGUCCAUACCUUCAGUUCCUACAAGAUACCAACCCUUAUGUGAUGGUGGUUGAUGCCGAGUAUCCUCGGUUCCGUACUCGCAUGCAGCAAGAUCUUUACUCGAGUUUCGUCCAUCGUCGUGGGCUUGCCUCCCACAAAUAUCUGGGUCUUCAGUUCAUGCGUAAUCAUCCUGCCAUGUUCCCUGACAACACCAUCAAGAUCAUUGAUGAUAUGACUCUAGGUCCUGCCAUGACCUUCAAGUGCGAUUGGAAUGAAGCCUCCAUCCUUCAGUUCUAUACCACCUGCUUCUUUGGGCCAAACAACACUCUCACAUGGAUGACUGACGACACUGUGCUAAGCAUCACCUAUGACCACUUUGUUCAGAUUUUGGGCUUCUCUGGUGUUGGUCAUCACAUUCACAGUAUGGAUCCUCGUGUCGGUGUACAGAAGUAGGGGCUCUACUUUGCACCCCUUUACCUGUGCAUGGGCAGUCAGAGCCGCACCUGCGGCCACACUUAGCAGGGUAAAGGAGGGAAGCCAAAUCCACGAGACGAUCAAAGCAACGCCAAGAUAGAGACACAAAGAGCAAGGGGGCGAGGUGGACUCCCCCAGCAAGACCCUUGCAGGGGCGGCCUCCAUGGCCCCGGCAAGGGCCUUGCCGGGGCAACUUGUCCAACACCAGCGGAGCGUGCCACCCUUGAGCCCGAGGUUUCCAACAUCAUCAACAAAUUUGGAACCAAGGCUCGGGAGGCACCUCUAUGGUGGCAUGCAGAUCUUUGUGAAGAUCAUUAACACACAAGAUCAGAUAAGGACCAGAAGACGAGACCUCCAGCAACAUCCUUGUAGGGGACGAACGCGGUGCCAUGGCCAGACCCUUGCUGGGGCCCCCGGCAAGACCCUUGCCGAGGAAAUUAGCGGGCCCGCGUCUAAGCCUGCGUGCACCAAGACCCCACCGCCGUUCCCAUGCAGCUAAUAGCCAAGCCAACCAGGCGGGCACUUGCGUGGCGACGUGUGGUCCUAAGGCCAACUCAUCAAGCACCUGCGUGGUGGCAUGCAGAUCUUUGUGAAGACGCUGCCACCACGCUAGCUUAGCAGCCUGCCAGCCUACAUGGCGCUGCCUGCCUCGCUGGCCUAGACGCUUGUCGAAGCAGGGCGAGGCGGCAAUAAAGCGAGGGGACACCUCAUGGGUGCAUUUAAUGCGUCAUGUCCCAUAAUAACAAGAGAUAAGCUUGUACACUAUACCCUUUCCACCUCCUGUGUGCUACUGUGGCGCCUCCUUCGACUAUAAAAGGAGGCCCAAGGCAUACUGGAGGGGGAUUCGACUCUUUGAGCAAGUCACGCAUGGUAGCUAGCUCAAGAACAUUCAUAUACACACUAAAGCAGGACUAGGGCAUUACGCGAUCCCCGCGGACCGAACCUGGGUAAACGACCUUUGUGCUGGCUCUUAGACCCGCCCUUCUCACAACCCCGCGCCCGCCGACCACAGUAGGGAUCCCAUUGAUCCCAUAGGUGUCGUUCCCACCGACAUCUUUGGCGCAUCAGGUAGGGGUGCGCAAUUGUGAGAAUCUGGUCUAGCAGCUAGUCUAACAGUUCUUCGUCGCCAUGGUUUCGAAGGAAGGAUGCGAUCAAACGGGCGGCAUCAUCUGCGGGUGCAGCAAACGCUCGUGCGGUGACAGAAAAGCUAAGUCACGCAAAAACUUUGGGAAAUUCUUUUUAUAUAAGGUUAUUCUCCCUGGAGAUCUUUCCCUCUAUAUACGAAACCUGCACGCAAUGGGGCCCUUCCACUAUUGGCAACACCUUCGUUCUAUUUCGAGUCCGCUCAAUAGUUCGAGCGGCUGUGUCGAGAACAGCAGGGUAGCCUUCCGCUAUUGGCAACGCUCUCGUUCUCUCUCGAGUCCGCUCGACAGCUCGAGCAGCCACGCUGAGAACGGCAAGGUGGUUCGCCUGGCCGCACGCACACCCGACAGGCUAUUGGGGAUCCGUCCUCGAGGUGCCGUGGCAUGGGUUUACGCACCGGCAAGCCUACCUAAUUAACAUAGGGUGGACAUACAGAGAAAGAUCAAAUUGGAAAAUAACAUGCAUCGUUUCAAAAGUAUUGCAGAGUUAUAUUACAUCAAUUGUUGCUGUGGUUCUAACUAAAGAUAUGAAUUGUCCGGUCAUGAACCUGCAGCGGCAAUGAGAAACGGGGUGCCUAGUCCCGGCGCUGGCCUUCGAUCCUCUCGAUCCCGUCAAUGCGGCUGAUGAUGGGCUUGAUACGCUCCUUGAGUAGCGCGAGGUCCACGUCCUCCGGCAAGCUCUCCAGCGCGGCGUCGAAGUCGAGGGUGGGGUACCAGUACGCCACCUUGGUGAGAACCUUGGUCAGGGCACCCCGGCAAAGCUGUCGGGCCUCUUUGGCCAGAGAGGUCGCUCUGUUAGAGCGGAACUGCUCCAGGGCUCCAAGAACUCCCUCGAAGAACAGGGUCAGCCUGGCGUUGGGGCUCACGUUCGGCUCUGGGGUGUACCUCACAUCCGACAUCCCCAUAUCAGCCAGCUUCUCGGUGAUCCUAUUGGCGAUGUCGGUGAGGCGGUUGAUCCAGAGGUUUUCGCCCUUCACGAAAUCCUUGUGAUUGGCGGCAUCGUUCUUCCACAGCUGCCUCUCCGUCUCCAGGCUCUUGGUCAGGGUCUCCUCCCAGGCCUUGGCCUCCAAAAGCAUCCCCUCACCCUCCAGCUUCAGCUUCAGGUCCUAGAUGGAGUCAUUGGCGCGAGUGAGCAGCUCGGCCUUGUUGAAGACUAUGGUCUGCACCUCCGUCAAGGCGCAGUUGACCGUGUACUUCUCCUUCGCCAGCUGCUCGGCCAUGUUCUUCAGGCCAUCCCGCUCCGCCUCCAGCUCCUUCACCUUGUCGCCAUGGGCCAGGGCUUGAGCAUCAAGUGCAUCUUUGUGCUUCUGCUCCAGCUCCCGGGUCUAUUGUGCGACGAGCUUCUUGACCUCCUCGUCCUAGUCGCAGAGUGUGGCAGCAAGCGUCGUCUCGCCAGCGACGAGGUCCUCCUCCUGGGAGUUCAGCUCGGCCUGGCGCUGGGACCAGGCGGCCUCGGCCUUGGCGGCCUCUUCCCUCGCCGCCUCCUGGGCUUUCUCGAUGUUGGCCUGCUUCAAGAGGAGCUCCUACUGGUGCUCGGCCAGCUGGUCUUGGGAAGCCCUUAGCUCCUCGUGGGCCUGGCAGAACCAGGCCUGUGCCUCGGCGAUGUGCUCCUUGAGAUCCGCCUCCGCCUUGCCCGCUACCGCCUCCUGGACUUCGCCUUGUCCAAUCGGGCAUGACGGAGCGCCUGGAGCUUCCAGAAGCUGGCGCCCAUGGCCCGGAGAAGCUGCUCCUCCUGGGUUCCGCCGCCACCGGUGCUCGGUUCAUCAACAACCUCGAGCCCGGCCGCAGCGAGCACCUCGUCGUCGAAUACCUCCCCCUCGGCCAGCGCCUUGGUGCCCGUCGUCCCUGGAAGGUGGACGAACAGGUCGUCGCCCACCUUCAGGUACUUGCUCAAGCCAGAGGCACUAGAGGAGGAGGGUUGAUCGUCGACUACCUCCUCCUCGGCAGCGGCCUUGCCGGGCUCCCCGGCAGGCCCCUUGCCGGCCCCCUCAGUGGUGCCCUUGUCGGCCUCCUCAGCGGCAGCCUCCUCGGUUCCUCCGGCAGGCCCCUUGGCGGUGUCCUCGAUAGCGGUCUCAGCGACGACCUUGUCAGCCUCGGCCAUGGCGUCCUUGGCAACCUCCGUGAUGACGGUGUCGAUGGCUUCCUGGUCCGCCGGGGGGGGCGGGAUCUAGAUGUCGGAAGGAAGGAUGAGGCGAGGCCAAGAUCAAGGAUCAAAAAAAGACAGAAGGAAAAACAGGAACAAAAAGCGGGUGACUUACCCGUGCUGGGCUGAGAAGAAGUGGCCCCCUCCCCGCCAACAUCUGUUGCCGGGACGGAGCCACCAGUGCCCAAGUCCACCUCCUCAUCCUCCGUGCGCAUGGGCUCGGGGCUUGGUGCCCUUGCCGGGGACGCCCCUCGGGGCGGCGUGGUUGAUGAGGGCUGCGUGUUGGGGGUGGCCCUCGGUGGCUCCUCCUACUGCUGUCCUCCUCCUGCAGCCACGACAAGGUCAGUGCCACAAGAUCGUACCCCGGUGCAUGUUGAUGAGGAGUAGGGGGUGGACGCACGCAGGGGGCUGAGCCGGGGGCUGUGUCGGGGGCUAUUGUCCGGGCUGAUCUCCACCACCGGCGUGUGUGAAGCGCCUGUCAGGGGCUGGUCGCCCGCCGACGCCCUGGCCCUCUUCGCCACCCUCGGGGCCAGGGUCUCCCUGUCCCUACGAAGACAAAAACAAGUUACGAAAAGCAAUGCAGCCUAGAAGAAUGGAGAUGAUAAAGGGUGGACACUUACUCGUCCUCCGCCUCCUCUUCUGCUGCCCUCUUUUUCCUCCUUGGGCUGAGGGACCCAAGGUCGAAGGCGACCUCUGGGUCGAUAUCUGCAUGAGGAGGGGAAGGGGAUGGAGUCCGGCGAUGCUUGGACGAAGAAGAGGCGGUCACUUUCUUCUUCGCCACUGUGGUCUUCGCCGCCUUCUUCGCUGCCGCGGCCCUUGUCUGGCGCACGGACUCCCCCUGGGCCCCUUGCUGCGGUUCGGUCCUUCUAGGCCGGACCGGCUCGCCAGAGGUGGCCUGCCGCAGGACACGUCCUCUUCCCGUGGCCGUAGGAUCGUCGGCCUCGGCCUCUCCCUCGGUCAACUCCUUGACCACCUCCUCGAUGAGAGGGGCCCCGGUGUUGGCGCCGCUGGCCUCCCCGGCAGCCCCCGCCCACUGGGUAAGCUCCCUCUCCUCCGCGGCCAUGCCGUCCUCAUCCUCCAUGCCGCCGGCGCUACCGGACUCCAUGGUGAGUUGCGCCUCCACCACUCUGGUGGCGAUGUAGUCAAUCUCCGCCUGGCUGGUGUCCGCGACGAGCAGCGGCUCAUCACAGUCGAAGCCCUCCGACAAGUUGUCGAAGAACUCCUGCACCUCGCAUGUCGGGGGCUCGACCCAGGACGGGUCGAGGCCGUGCGCAUUGAAGACCGGCAUCAUUUCGAGAAUGGCGGCCUGGCACGUGUUGUUGCUCAGCGGGAACACACCCGGCGGCAACACAAACAGGGGCCCCUUGAUGACCUUGCCGGCCUUCACGGCCCUGCCGGUCCUCUCUACCCUGCCAUCGGCGAACACAUCAAGCUGGAAGAGCCUCUGGCAGUAAUGGGCGUGUCCCAUCACCGUGAAGUUAUGCUUCAGACCGGGGCGGAGCCUCAUGAUGUUGGCCGCGUUCCUGAAGUCCCAGGCCGGCCUCUCCUUGUUGUGGAGCGGGGCAAUUCAGCGGCGGAUGAAGUCUGCCACGAUCAUCUCAAGGGUGAGCCCAGCCGUGGUGAGGUGAUGGAUCCUGGUGAUGGCGAUCGAGAGCUUCGCGUCGUUGGCGCUCCAGUCCUUGUCGUGAAUCGGCGGGCUCCGGCGAACCCGGCAUAACUCCGGCGGAUCCUUCUCCUCGAUCCAGCACCACCAACCCCGCCACUCCUCCCACCUCUCCUUGUGGGCACCCUCCGGAUAUGUGCCUCUCCCUUGGACCCUCGGGAUCCAGGAGAUGCUUCCGGAGAGGGCGCCCCCUGGCUGGAGGCGAGGAGAGAAGUAGUGGCGGAAGAGCGCCGUCCUGGGAAGCACCCCAACGAAGCCCUCGCAGAGAUGGGCGAAGAACACCAUGCACGCCAUGGCAUUCGGUGUGAGGUCCAGGAGACAGAAGCCAAAGGUGUGCAUGAUGUCAUUGAAGAAAUCAGAGAAAGGGGGCAGAGCCCACAGGAGAAGGAAUCAACGAAGAAGGGGUACCGAUUUGGGCCGGCCUCGCAGCAGUCAGCGAGGAUCAUGCGCAUGGCCGGGUGCCCCGUCGUCUCCGCCCACAGAGGCUUGAAGAAAUCCUUGAGGUGGAAUACAUCGACCGACGACGGGGAGAAGUAGGCGAACCGCGCCCACCGCACCGCCGCCUCGUUCUCCGGCACCUCCCUCUCCACGAUAUCCUUGGCCACCCCCUUGCCCUUGUUGCCAGUCUUGGGUGCCAUGGCGGAUGGGCGGAGGCGGAGGAUCGAGCGCAACGGGGGCACGGCAGCGAUGAGUAGAGGCAAGAGCUCGAGGAGGAAGAAGGUGGGGACAGCGGUGCCGAGAUUGUAGAAAGCGCAAAGGGUAAAUGAGCAGCACGCCUCCGGUUUUUCCUUUUUAUGGGGAAGGCGUUGGCCACCUCUUUACCAUUUACUAUGACGUGACACCUGCAUGCAGCAGACGCCCCACGCAUGCCUCCCACGUCACGCAUGGCCCUCCACGUCGCGCAUUCGACAAAAGUCGUGGGGAAGUGUAGCGGACGAAGGAGUUACUGCGAUAAAAAUCGGCCUCGCCUGCCCGCGCACCAUUCUGGGCCUAGCCCAACAACGCGGCACGCUUAUGUAUGGCCCAGGCCCCGGGGCUCCUGUCGGUGUACAGAAGUAGGGGCUCUACUUUGCACCCCUUUACCUGUGCACGGGCAGUCAAAGCCGCACCUGUGGCCACACUUAGCAGGGCAAAGGAGGGAAGCCGAAGCCACAAGACGAUCAAAGCAAUGCCAAGACAGAGACACAAAGAGCAAGGGGGCGAACUGGACUCCCCCGGCAAGCCCCUUGCCGGGGUGGCCUCCACGGCCCCGACAAGGGCCUUGCUGGGGCAACCUGUCCAAUACCAGUGGAGCAUGCCACCCUUGAGCCCAAGGUUUCCAACAUCAUCAACAAAUUUGGAACCAAGGCUCGGGAGGCACCUCCAUGGUGGCAUGCAGAUAUUUGUGAAGAUCAUUAACACACAAGAUCAGAUAAGGACCAGAAGACGAGACCUCCGGAAACAUCCUUGCCGGGGACGACCGCGGUGCCACGGACAAACCCUUGCCGGGGCCCCCGGCAAGACCCUUGCCGAGGACAUCAGCAGGGCCACGGCCAGGCCCAUGUUCACCAACACCCCACCGCCGUUCCCAUGCAGCUGCCAGACCAGCCAGCCAGGCGGGCACUUGCAUGGCGACGUGCGGUCCCGAGGCCAACUCAGCAAGCACCUGCGUGGUGGAAUGCAGAUCUUCGUGAAGACGCUGCCACCGCGCCAGCUCAGCAGCCUGCCAGCCAACAUGGCAUUGCCCGCCUCGCUGGCCUGGAUGCAUGUCGAAGCAGGGUGAGGCGGCAAUAAAGCGAGGGGACACCUCAUGGGCGCAUUUAAUGCAUCUUAUCCCAUAAUAACAAGCGAUAAGCUUGUACACUGUACCCUUUCCACCUCCUCUGUGCCACUGUGGCACCUCCUUCGACAAUAAAAGGAGGCCCGAGGCAUACUGGAGGGGGAUUCGUCUCUUUGAGCAAGUCACGCAUGGUAGCUAGCUCAAGAACAUUCAUAUACACACUAAAGUAGGACUAGGGCAUUACGCGAUCCCCGCGGCCCGAACCUGGGUAAACGACCUUUGUGCUGGCUCUUAGACCCGCUCUUCUCACAACCCCGCGCCCGUCGACCACGGUAGGGGUCCCGUUGAUCCCAUAGGUGUCGUUCCUGCCGACACCUCGCUAUAGGCCCAAAAAGAUUGAUGCUUGCAUGGCUCUUCUUAAGCCCAUCUAUCUGCUCACUGAAGAGGAACGUGCAUUACCACCCAAUGAGUCAUCUAUUUUCCGGUCUCCCUACUACAUUCUCUAUCAGUGUGUGCUUCGCACUCUCUAUCAUAGAAGGGAGAUCGCUCAAGGGCUCACAACUACUGUAUUGAUCUGAUGGUACGUAUGCAUGAUGCACCCAUUGAGCCUCUUGACACCGCUCACUACAUUUGGCAUGAGAUUCGUCUCUCUAGCUUCAUUCAGUUGCAUCAAUUCCCACAUGCUCCAUUCAUUCAGGCCAUAAUUGAUCACACUGCUCCAUUUGAGGUUGCUAAGACCGUUAGGCAUUCCAUGUGGAAGCCUCCCGUCCAUAUGCGCGUGGCUGCUCCUACACCGAUUGUUGCACCACGACCACCUAGGAAUUCUGCUAGUGGGUCUCAGCCCACUGUUUCCUCCAUGCCUUCUUCCUCGUCUGCUCCUCGUGGACGCCUUGCCUUGUUCUUAAGCAAGGCUCAGUCUGCUAUCAUGAAGGCAAUCACUUUCAACUGUCAGCAGAAUCAUGAUGUUCAGAAGCGCCUCAUCAUCUCCAAGAAUCAGCUCAAGCAACGCCUUCGUGACUGUGGGAGUCCUGUGAGUGAUGACGAUCUGAUUCCUGCUGCUCCGUCCUCUUCCACUUUCGAGUUCCCGUCUCGUGACGAGUAUGCCGAGUUCUUUGAUGGUGAUGAUGACAUCCUCCAGGAGUGAUAGAGUCCGUCUUCGCCCCUUUUUCCUUGUUGCUGUCAAAGGAGGAGAAGUAGUAUCUUAGUAUGGUCAUGCUAUGUGUUGGGUAUUUGUGUUAGCUAUUAUUCAAACUUCUUGUGGGUACUUAUGGUACUUGAUCGUUUGAGACUAUGUGUCACAUCCCUAGUUCUGGUAUGCACUAGACUAGCACUUCAUGUGUGCAUCAUGUUUAAACUUUGAAAGAAACUUGAAAUGGGGAUGUCCAAACCCUAGUACCAAAUGGAAUUCAAAUAGGUUCAACCUAAAAAUAUUUUCAGUGAAUCCAAAUGGCUUUCAAAAAUGUUCAUCAUUUCUGGAAAAUGCUAGAACCAUAACCAGAGGUGUUGCACAUUUUUCCAUGACAUAUUUGGUCACUGAAUUAAAUCAUGUGUACUUUGCAUUUGGGCAUUUAAAUGCUAGUAAAUAUUUUAAAUGCUCAAAUAAUUCUGGAAAUAAGUGUGGGCUGUUGGAAUUAAUCUAAACAGAGCCUAUGAUUAUUUUCAGGAUUUUUGAAGGUGUCUAACUAUUUUUAAGCCACAAACUUAUAGAAAAAUAGAAAAACAGAAUUUUAAAGGGAGAGAGUAGGCCUUACCUGGCAGCCCAGCCAGCCCACCACUGUAGUAGCCCAGCCGGGCAAAGCCAGCCCGGCCCACCAGGGGCAGCACUGUCUUCUUCCUCUUGCCAGGAGGAGAAGCAGCUGCGUGCCCGGCGCGCAGGCGAGCCGCGCCACCUCCUCCCUGCCUGCCUGGCCUCCCCGAUCUUUUGGACGACGCCAUGCACCCCCCCUGGACCGCUCUCACUCUCUCCCGUGCCCCUUCCUUCCUCUGGCUUUCUCCCUCGCACCACCCAAACGCGCCCGCCACCGCCGACAUGCACCACCGCGGCCACCGCCUCCCCCUCGCUUCCCUGACCACCUCAAGAGCUCCGCCUCGUCGCCCUAGACCUUCUGCACCUAUCCAAGUGACGCCAGAAUCCUCAAAUCGCCGUCCCCGCUGUCUUCUUCAACCUCGGUUCGCCGAGAUCGCCAUCGCCGACCCGCUUGCUCCGGCCCCUCCCCGAGCUCGCUGUCUGCUUCAACCGACUCUCCAUGAGCUCCUCUUCCUCCUCCCCCUUCCCGUUCUUGCUCUCGAGCACCACUGCGACCGCACCGAGCUCGACCGCGCCCGCCGCCGCCACCGCACGUCGCCGUCGUGGCCACAGCCACGUUGGCUUGAUUCCGAGCACGCCAUCAUCUUCAACGCAGUCGCAGAAGCCCAUAAAACCUCCUCACGCGCCUCGACGUGCCUCAUAGUGACGGCUUCGACCUCGCCCGAACUCCGGCGACCGCCAAGGUCGUUGCCUGUGACGUUUCCGGCCACCCCAGCAUCUCCCACCGCCACCACUCGACGCGCGCGAGCUCCAGCUCCACGUAGCCGCUCUCCGCCGUUGAUUUGGUCGCUGGAGGAGGAAACCCGCACCUCUCCGCCGUCCCUGGCCCUGCCGGCGACAAGCCCCUGGUCAACUCCGGUGAGUUUGACCCGGUUUGACCCUAGUUUGACUUCCCCUGAGUCACUGACGAGUGGGCCCAGGCCCCAGCUAAUCCUAGAUCAGUUUUUUUUAAUUAAGUUUAAUUACUCCACUGACAUUUUUAGUUAGUAGUAGUUUAACACUAAUUAAUUUAGAUUAGUUAGUUAGUCACUGAUGUGUGGACCCCACACGUCAGGUUUGACCUGCACCCGGCUUCGUUGACCUGCUGACGUCACACUGAUGUUAGGCUGACGCAGUGCUUAUGCAAUAACUCAUUUCUGGAUUUAUUCUUUUACAGGAAAUUCCAGAAAAUAGCCAAAACUUCUAAAAAUCAUAGAAAUUCAACCGUAACUCCAAAUGAAAUAAUUUAUAUAUGAAAAAUUAUCAGAAAAAUCCAAUCUAUCCAUCUGUACCAUUUUCAUGCAUGUUAAAACAACGUAUUACUACUGUUUAGGACAAUUCAAUUAAAUGGCAUUUAAAUAACCACAUGUGGAGUUUCAAUUUGAAUCUUGGAUUCAAACCAACUUCAUUUAAUCUGGUUUUAGUUGCAUUAGCACAAACCACAACAUAUUGCCAUGUCACAUUCAUGCAUCAUAUUGUUGCAUUGCAUUGAUUGUGUUUCUUCUUUGUUUGUCGGUGCUUGUCCCCUCUCAGUAGACGUGUACCGACGAUGUGAUCGAUGACACCGAUGAAGAACUAUACUAUCUUCAGAAGUGCCAGGCAAGCAAAACCCCCUUGUUCAUUCCGAUACAAUCCCACACUCUCGCUCCUGCUCUCUUUUACUGCAUUAGGAUAACAAAGAUUCAACUGUUACCUGCUGCGGUAGUUGAACCCCUUUCCUCUGCAUGACCUGUCAUUGCCACAGUAAAUAGAUGAAACCCACUAGCAUGAGUAGGAGUUGUUUGAGCCCUGAUGUGCCUAUUCAUUCAUGCUUGUUUGUCAUGCCUGCUACUGCUUAGAGUUGAGUCAGGUCUGAUUCAUCGGGGAUGAAUCAGAGGUGUGUGAACAUGUCCUAUUGUGUGUGAGCUAAGUGUGUGAACACGAUUCGGUAAAGGUAGCGGUGAGAGGCCAUGUAGGAGUACAUGGUGGGUUGUCUCAUUGAAACCGUCCUCAGGAACUAAGUUCUGUGUUUGUGAUCCAUGAACAGUUACUACCACACAUUGGGCUCCGGGCACUCCAAGCUCUCUCGACUUAUUAAUCAAUUUGAUCUCUGUCCAGGAGUUGCAACUAGUUUCUGGUGUUUGUAGGUAGUGUUAGUAGUCUACCAAGUGGCACCCGGUACAGGUGGGCUUGGGACAGACUAGGCACCGUGGCACAGUGUACCAAGCGUAGAUCCACCCGUUAAGGUGGGCUUGGGAACCCUACACACAUCGUUUGGGGCCGUGAGCGACACCCCGGCCGGAUCUCCUUGCGGAUGGAACCCGAAUAGGCGAUAAACCUGGAUGAGAGACUUGUGUGGUUAGUCAGGUCGUGGUCGACACCCUCGCUGGGCUUCCGCUUGAAGGUUGCCGAGUACAUGUCGUGUAAAUGGCGGUAAGUGGUGAGAGCGUGUGUGAAGAAGUACACCCCUGGAGGGUUAAUAUGAUCUAUUCGAAUAGCCGUGUCCAUGGUAAAGGACUUCUGGGUUGCAUGUACAGUUCAUAGACAAGUGAAAGUGGAUACUCUAAAAUACGCAAGAUAAGCAUGAGUGCUAUGUAUGGUGUUCUCGUAGGGAGACGGGAGCGGAUCCAUAGUGGUGCAUUGAUAUGGUGAAUAUGUGGACUCGUGUGCGCCACCUCAAAAGAGUUGCUUGCAGUCAUAGUUUAGGAUAGCCACCGAGUCAAAGCUGGCUUGCUCCAGUUAAACCCCACCACCCCCUUUCUUGAUAAUGAUGCAUAUGUAGUUAGUUCUGAUGUAAGUCUUGCUGGGUACAUUUGUACUCACGUUUGCCUAUUUUACGUUUUUGCAGAGAGACUUCAGUCUCACUAGUAGUACCGUGUGGACUUCGACGUUUAGCUUGUUACCUCAGCUAUGAUCUUGUGCCCUCGGCGGUAUCUGGUAGAUAGUCAGGCUUCUCAGCCUUUUUCAUUUGUAUAUGUCUGUAAUCAGACAUGUUAAGCUUCCGCUUGUGCUUUGACUUGUAUGCUCUGAAUGUUGGGUCAUGAGACCAUGCUUGUAAUAUCUCGCUCCUCGGAGCCUAUUGAAUAAAUACUUGAGUCAUAGAGUUAUGUUGUGAUGCCAUGUUGUAUUUGCACAUAUCGAGCAUAUUGUGUGUAUGUUAUUGAAAUGCUUGGUAUGUGUGGGAUCUGACUAUCUAGUUGUUUAUCCUUAGUAGCCUCUCUUACCGGGAAAUGUCUCCUAGUGCUUCCACUGAGCCAUGGUAGCUUGCUACUGCUCCGGAACACUUAGGCUGGCCGGCAUGUGUCCUUCUUCGUUCCUGUGUCUGUCCCUUCGGGGAAAUGUCACACGAUGAAUACUAGAGUCCUGUUAGCCUGCUACAGCCCGGUUUAUCGGAGUCCUGCUAGCCCAGUUGCUACAGCCCGGUUUAUCGGAGUCCUGCUAGCCCAGUUGCUACAGCCCGGAUUCACUCGCUGAUGACCGACACGUUCAUUGUUGGGUCAUGUAUGCCUGUCCCUGUAAGUUUGUGCCACUUGGGUUUACGACUAGCCAUGUCAGCCCGGACUCCUUAUCAUAUGGAUGCUAGCGACACUAUCAUAUACGUGUGCCAAAAGGCGCAAACGGUCCCGGGCAAAGGUAAGGCGACACCCGUGGGGAUGCCAUGCGUGAGGCCGCAAAGUGAUAUGAGGUGUUACAUGCUAGAUCGAUGUGGCAUUGAGUCGGGGUCCUGACACUAUGUUAUUAUCCUUGUGGCUAUGAAAUGUUUUAGUCUAUGUGUUAUGAGGGUUUCAUAUGUGCAUGUCUCUCACAUUUAUAUCUCUUUGAGCUACAUAUGCUACCAUGAGAGUUGGUGAUGUACAUCCUAACAUAUUCAUCUCAUGCACACAAUGAGGGAGAGCUAAAAGCAAAUAGAAACAUAUUCAUAUUUUGUACUUUUGCUCUCAUGAUUGUCAAUGCUAAAUUUAUUUAUUGCAUCUAUGAUACUACAUGUAUGAUUGUCAUCAACAAACAAAAAGGGGGAGAUUGAAAGUGCAAUCAUGCCCUUACAUCAUGUUUUGAUGUUGAUGACAAUUUACAUGUAGGGGUCUAACUAUGUUUGUCAAGUAAAUCUCAGGUGUUAGUCCCCGGUUCAACUAUGUGUGUGGAUCGUGAGCAUACGAAGAUGAUUUUACCCGAAGUAUACUCAAGCAAGAAGUAUCAAAAUGAGUGCAUCAUUUUAAUUUCUUGAGUAUAGGAUCUCGCACUAUUAAGAGGGGAUCGGUGGGGUUAGUGAAAGACUUGCUCAAGCUACAAUAAUUCCUAGCUUCAAAAUCUUAGGGUCACACAAAAAUACUCUGGUGCAUAUGUUCUUUUUGCUCCCAUGCCGGAUGUUCAGGCUUCAUCCGGAUGUUCGGGCCACACCCCGGAUAUCUGGCCCACUCGCCGGAUGUCCGGCUCACUGCUAUUUUAGACACCAGUAGGUUUGCACGUCCUCGCCGGAUGUCCGGGCUGCACCCCGGAUGUCCGGGUCUUCCAGCCACGCUAGAUAUCCGGACUCUGUCCGAGAUGUCCGGCUCCCUGUCAUCCUGACUCCACUAGGUUUGCACGCAGUUGCUGGACGUCCGGGCUUCAGCCCGAAUGUCCGGGGUUCUUUGACAUGCCAGAUGCCCGGGCUUUGGCCCCGGAUGUCCGGCCCUCUGUUUUCUGCUCUGCUUCUGCCUUGUUCUUCGAGUGCCUUGCCUGGCCGAAUGUCCGGCCCCUAGCCCAGAUGUCUGGCCUGCCCAUUCACUUGCACUACAACAGCCAUAUUUGUGCUCACACUAUAUAUAUAUAUAUCCCUUCUUCCCAAUGGGAGAGGGUUGACCAUUCACUUUGAACAAACCCUAGAACACAUUUCACUUUCUCUCUCACUCCUCCACACCAAAUCUUAGAUCCCCAAGGGAUUCGAGAGCAUUUGAUAGAAGUUGUCUGAUCAAGUGAUAGAUCUACUCCUUCCCCUUCUUUGCACCAAAGGAAUUCGUGAUUUGAGCAAGUCUUGAGCUUUUCCCCAUCGUUCUUGUUACUCUUGGAGGUUGGAGACUCCUAGGCGGUAGGAGUCUUUCGGAGAGGAAUCGACCACUAUGAUUACCCCCAGAAAAGUUUGUGAGGGUUUGGAGACCACCCCAAGGUCUACCACUAAUGGUUAAGAAACGCAUUCAUGUGUUGUCUCAAAGAGAGAAUAGGGUGAGCCUUCAUGGUAUUGGUGUGCCUUCGUGGUAACAUCUAACUCUCUAAACAGUGAUGUAGCUCCCUCCAAGGAAGUGAACAUCGGCAUACAUCCUCGUCUCUUGGAGUUGUGGUUAUUCCUAACCCCUAACUCCCUACUUGUGGUUACUUUUCUCUUGCUUACUCAUAUAUUUGUGCCACUUGUUUAUCUUGCUUAGCUCUUAGUGUCAUACUUGCAAUUGUUAGGCUUACUUACAUAUACCGCAUUAUUGCCUAAAAUUGCUAAGUAACAAUUAAAAUGUGUAGUUGUACCUAUUCACCCCCCUCUAGGUCCAUCUCGAUCCUUUCACGAGUAAAAAAGUUGGCUGCUUCACAUGUGCCUGUGCGGCUCUGUUGGUGGUUUCCUGCAUGAUAUUGAAGAUGACAGCCAACAACCUGGGCCAAUGGUUGACCACCAGCCCCAUGCGUGGACUUGGCGCUGCCUGCAGCUGCAGGAGACGUCGACCUGCAGUUGGAGGAGGCUCUGACCUUCAGCUGGUGAUUAGGUGGUUUCCUCGUUUCUAGCAAAAUGAGAAGUUCAAAUUGAAAAGGCGGAGCGGUUUGAUGUUAAUUGCAAAACUGUGAUUUUCCUGUUACUAAACAAUAAACAGAGAAAUGUAAUGUAUAUUACAAAACCAAGAAGGUCAAAUUAGAAAAACAAAAGAAGUUCAAAAAGUUUUAUAAAAAUGGGCAUACCCCAUUUCUAAAAAAAACUUUGAAGUUCAAAUUUACAUAAGAGAGAAGGUCCAAAAAACCUAGGAGUUCAAAUUUAUAUAGCGCAGUGAUUCAAUGUUUAAGAAACUUGGGUUUUCCCCCUUAUUAAACAAUAAACUAAGAAGUUCAAAUUAUAAAAAUAGAUCAGUUAAAAAAAUUAUUAAUAAAAUUCCUCAUUUCUAAAAAAUCUCGAGUUUAAAUUUAAAUUAUGGAGAAGUUCAACGUUUAUUAAAAAACAAGAAUACGACCAUGAAGUUUGACCCUAUAAAAAAUUUAGAUAUCCCUCGUUAAUAAUGAAUACAACCAUGAAGUUCAAAUUUAAGAAAUAGACAAAUUCGAUGAUUAUUCAAAAUAAAAAGAAUUAUUUACUCAAAUAGUAAAAAUUAUGAAGUUCAAAUUAAAAAAAACACAAAAGUUCAAAGUUUAUUGAAACCUAAGAUUACAUGGGCGAAAACCAAAAAAGACCAACGUCAUUUUUGGCACUCCUAAAAGUUUCUCAUAAUACAACAACAAACUAAAAAAAACUUUAUACAUGAAAAGUUUUCUACUAUUUAGACUCUUUCUAAAACGGUGUAUCAUAUGACCUACUACGUUAAAAGCGGUUCAAAAUUUAGGUGUAUAUCGUUUGUAAAAAAUAAGUUUUACCGUAUUCAAGGAAACUUUAAAACCUGUGGAGAUUUUAAAAAGUCAACAAGAAUUUUUUUUCUCUUUUCAAUAGCUCUUCGAAGGUACAUCAUUUGUGCAAAAUUCGAUGAGCGACUGAAGAAUUGCGAACAAAAAACGUGACAGAAGUUCAAUGUAUACAAAAAACUCAAAAAUAUUCAAAAAAAAAUUAAAUGUAUGAAGUUCAAUUUCGAAAAAGUUGUCCGAAUUUUACUUCAAAAUGAUUUUUUUUCUUUCCUAAGAAUUAAACUAAGAAGUUAAAAAAUAGCCAGCUUCGAAGUUUAUAAAAACAUAGGAUUUACAUGCUCAAUUUUGAUGAGUGUUUUAGGAGUUAGGCUAAAAAACAAAGAGUUGUUCAAUGUGAUAACAACUAGAAGUUCACGUACUACGUGGUGUGUGUUUCAUAUGAGAAAAAAUAAUAAAAAGGCAACGUCUAAAAAUUUUGUUGCUAGAAGUUCACAUGGUCGGCCCAGGAAGUUAAAAAAUUCUUGCAAAGGAGGUUCAUCGUGUAUUUACUUGUGCAAAAACACACAAAAAUGAUAUGUUUUUUGUGUUUCAAAACAAUUCUCUCAAUCCAUUAAAAAUUUGAAACACAAAUGCUUGAUAGGAAAAAAAUUCUUCCUAUUCAACAAUUUCCCAAGGAUAUAUCUUAUUUUUAUUCCAAAAAUAAAACGAUUAUAAACAAAUUGGUGUAUGUUGUUGGAAAAAAAGUUUAACUGCAUUAAAAAAAGUUGCAUCUUUUCAACAAGUUUCUAAAAAGGUAUAUAAUUUGUGUAACUCCAAGAAACCGGUGAGGAAUUACGAACAAAAAUACUUGACAAAAGUUCAAUGUGAAAACAACGAGCAGUUCGACUGCUACAUGGAAUGCGUUUUUUAUGAGAAUAAAAGAAUGCAAAACUAAAAGCGUAAAAGGUUUGUUGCAAGAAGUCAUGUGCUCCUCCCUACACGGUUCAAAAAUUAUAUUGCGAAACGUCCGAAAUUUAGUUACAUGUAAAAAAAGGCCAACAUUGUUUUGCCAUUUUUAAAACUGGUCUCAAAAUGUAUAUCAUUCGUGCAACUCUGACGACCGGGUGAGAAAUUACGUUGUUUUUGACAUUUUUUAAACUCUAGUCAAACGACACCGAAUUUGUGAAAAUUGUCUACAUGAAAAAGUUGCUCCUAUUCAUAAGCUUUCCAAUAGUAUAUUAUAUGCUACAUUCUGAUGUACAAUUUAAAAAAUUUCAUGUAUACCAAUUCAAACAUGUUUUUAUGUAUUCAAAAAAUUCUUUCGAACCGUCGCGAGUAUGAAAAGAUGAUCCACACGGGAAAUUUGUGUGUUUUCAACAACUUCCUAUUGGUAUAUCAUUUGCUCAAUUCUAGUAAGUGGUUGGGGAGUUAGGGCAAAAAGAGCACAUGAAAAACAGAGUGAAGUUCAAACAGAACUGCUCCGGAAGUUCAAGCUCUUCACGCAGUGCAUUUUUGGAGACUAUUUUUGCGAUGAAGGAAAAACGCAUGAUCUAAGAAGUUCAGAUUCAUAACUGCCAGAAGUUCACGUACUACAUGGUGUGCAUUUUAUAUUAACAAAAGAAUAAAAAAAGCAAAGGCUAAAAGUUUUGCUGCUAGAAGUUCAAGUGCUCGGUCCAAGAAAGUUCAAAAUUUCUUGUGAGAGAGGUUGAACAAAAAUGCAUGACAGAAGUUCAAGGGGAAAACAACGGGAAGUUCAACUACUACAUGGAAUGUGUUUCAGAUAAGAAAAUAAGAAUGGACAACAAAAAGCUUAAAAGGUUUAUUGCAAGAAGUUCACGAGCUCCUCCUAGCAUAGUUCAAAAUUCAUGUGCGAGACGUCCAUCGUUCAUUUACAUGUUGAAAAAAAGGCAAAAAAAAUGUUGUUUUGCCAUUUUAAAAACUGAUCACAAACGGCAAUGAAUUUGUAACAUCUGUCUACAUGAAAAACUUGCUGCUAUUCAUAAGCUUUCCAACGGCAUAUUAUGUGCUACAUUUUGAUGAACAGUUUAAAAUUUGCAUGAACACCGUUUAAAACACGUUUUUGUGUAUUCAAAAAAAAAAUCUUUUGAACCAUCACAAGUAUGAAAAAUUGAUCAACACGGGAAAGUUGCGAGUUUUCAAUAGUUUUCCAUCGGUAUAUCAUUUGCUCAAUUUCGGUAAGUGGUUUGGGAGUUACACGCAAAAAACAGAGUGAAGUUCAAACAGACAUGCCCCAGAAGUUCAACUACUUCACGCAGUGCAUUUCCAUUCACGAUGAACGCAGAAAUCAUGAUCUCGCCAUUUUGUAAUUUACUUCAAAACAACAAGAAUAUCAUUUGUGUAAGUUCAAGUUCUCAGUUGGAGAAAGUUAAAAAAAUUAUUGUGAGAGAGGUUUGUACAAAAGGAAUAUCAUUUGUGUAACACUAACGAAUGGAUAAAAAAGUUACAAACGAAAAUACAUCACAGAAGUUCAACGUGAAAAUGGCAGGAAGUUCAACUACUACGCUAAAUGAAUUUCAGAUGAAAAACUUUUAAAAUCCUCCUGAGUAUGAAAAAGUGUUCAACACAAGAAAGUUGCGUGUUUACAUCAGCUUUCCAUCGGUAUAUCACUUGCUCAAUUCCGGUGAGUGGAUGGAGAGCUACGAGUAGUGGAUGGAGAGCUACGAGCAAAUAAAGCACAUGAAAAGCAAAGUGAAGUUCAAGUAGACAUGCCAAGAAGUUCAAGUUCUUCACGCGAUGCAUUUUCGAAAUAUCUAUUUCGUGAUAAAGGCGGAACGAAUGAUCUCGCCAUUUUGAAAUUACUUAAAAACGGCUAGGAAUCAGAGAAAACUAUCAACAUGAAAAAGUUUCACAUUUUCCUUACCUUUUCAAAGGUAUAUUAUUUGCCACAUUCCAGUAAAGUUUGUAAAAAUUACGGCAAAAAUACGUUUUUAGCCAUUUUCAAAUUUGACUUAAAACCAUAAAUAAUUGGGAGAAACAAUAUAUACCAAAAAGUUUUGCAUUUCCUCAAACUUUCCAACGCCACAUCAUUUGCUAUAUUCGGACUUAUGGUUAAAAAAUUAGCUCGGAAAUACGAACUCAAUGGAACUUGUACCGUUUUCUAAAUUACUUUUAAACCACUAAAAAUUAGAAAAAAAACAUUUAACAUGAAAAACUAGUGCAUUUUCAUAAGCUUUCCAACACCAUAUCAUUUGCCUCAAUUGGAUUAGCUGUUUAUAAAUGACAUCGAAAAUACAAACUCGGCUGUUCGGUUUACGAAAUUUAUGAUUUUCCAAAUUACUAUUUAACCAUAUAGGGAAUUAUAGAAAACUGUCAACGUGUGGAAGAAGCGGUUUUGCAGCAGCUACGCCAUAUGAUUUGCCUCGUUCCGAUAAAUGGUUUAGAAAUGCGAUCGAAAAUAUGAUUCAUGUUUUUUGUAUGAAGAAAAAACAAUUUUCAAAAAUGCUCUUAAACCGCUUACAUUUUGCCAAAAAUUUAACUUGGAUCAUGAUACUCGUGUCCAUAGCUUUCCAAUGGUAUAUCGCAAGCCCCAUUUGGGCAAUGUUGGCGGAAGUUCAACCUUGCAUCGGGGGAAGUUCAGGUCGAAUAACUCAGGCAAUAAAAUUGCAAAAACGCAAGUUCAUCAUGACCCGAGAGAAAAAUCCUCCAACUAGCAUGGUUCCAAUUUAAAAUGGGCAUGUAGUUGCUAAAAUCCGUUUCUAGAUUACACUUGCAUCACACAGAACACGACUAACUAGAAUAAUUCACGCGGGGAGACACGGUUGCGAAAAUAGCCCGAAGGUCGGGUUCAUACAAAGGGAAGUUUAGGCGUGUAACUCAAGAAGUUCGUGUUGUGAUCAGAAUAAUAUUCUGAUCCCGUGAUUAGAAUAGUGUUUGUGUGUGUGUGUGUGUGUGUUUGUGGUAACUGCAAAAAAAUGGCUCAAAUAAAGCAAACAAAAUCUCAAAUGCACUAGAAAAUCGAACCUUAGCAUAUAAUGGUGAUUCCUUACCGUGGAAAAAAAUUCAAGGCGAAAAGAUGAACUCAUGUUUUCAUUCAAAGGAAAAUAUCUUGUUAAUUAGUUGAUGUAAAUGUUUUAAAAUAGCACAUGGUUCAUUCAUGAUAGUUAUGUGCCUAUCAAACCGUGGUCGAUGCCCCCCUGCUGCGCGCAUGAUGCGAGUCGUGCGUUCUGAUUGGCCAGAACCCAAACCCCACAGAUCAUACUUCUGCACCGUUGGAUGCUCCCAGAUCAAAUGGCAAUCCUCAUCCCUUUCAUCAGCACAUGCAGUUCCGGCUUGGAUUUAUUUAUAUGCCAAAAUGCACGGUAAAUGCCAAAAAUGGCAUAAAUAAAGCACACGAGACCUGAAAUGUGCAAGAAAAUCAUACCUGUGGUAUAAUGGUGGUUGCUUACCAUGGAAAAAAUUCGAGGCAAAAUGAUGAACUCACAAUUUGCACGUCUUCAUUUGAAAAUUAGCACGUCUUCAUUUCAAACGAAAUUAUGAUGUUUGUGCACACGGGUGCUUAGAGGCAACCAUUUGCAUAGGCCUUUCCGUGCGGUGAUCGAGGAUAUUUUUACACCCUUUUCACCUAGGCCNNNNNNNNNNNNNNNNNNNNNNNNNNNNNNNNNNNNNNNNNNNNNNNNNNNNNNNNNNNNNNNNNNNNNNNNNNNNNNNNNNNNNNNNNNNNNNNNNNNNNNNNNNNNNNNNNNNNNNNNNNNNNNNNNNNNNNNNNNNNNNNNNNNNNNNNNNNNNNNNNNNNNNNNNNNNNNNNNNNNNNNNNNNNNNNNNNNNNNNNNNNNNNNNNAAUCUCCGUCGCCAUCUCCCCCCUCCCCCAGAUCCACAGCAGAACCCUCCUGGUGCCUGCAUGCUCAACCCGGCCGUGUGCCUGCUCUUCGGCGUCAACCCUACCUCCACUGCCAUUCCCAACACGCGGCUGCCCGUGCCUCGCCGUCUUGCUUUACUCGCCAGCCACCCUCGAGCAUAUCAAUCAUGUAACCCUCGCCUCUCAUGUGGUCCUGCCGGGUUUGCACAACAAAUGUGUUAGUUACUGCUCUCCAUCUCGGUGAGGCAUAUUUCCUAGCAAUCCCUAUUCCUAUUUCAUUUGGUAUGUUCCCAAAUUCACUAUAAAAUAAUGGAACAAGAAAAUAAAUAAUAUAAACAGAAAACAAUUUUUAACAUCAUUAUAUUUAUGUGGAUUAGAUCUUAACAGUAGGUAUAUGCGAUUAGCUAUGAUUUGCAAAAAGAAUCAACUCAAACGGAGCUACGAAACUCAAGGUACAAACAAAACAAGAACAAAUUCAAAUCUGAACUAAACUCAAAUUUUAAAUUUUCAAAAACAUGUUCAAGUUGGUUUACUGGAUAGAUGAGAUUGCUCUAAAGAUUUUGGCGUUGGUUUCGUCGAAUUUGGACAAACAAGCAAGAAGUUGUGCUAGUUUGAAACAGAGGGACUAAUCUGUAAAAAUAAAACUACAGAUAGACCCCUGGCAGAAAAAUAAAAGAAAGAUAAAAAUCCUACCGAAUGAACAUUUGCUACAGAACCUAACAGAAUGAAUAUGUUCGCUACAGAAGCUUAAAAUGAUGAACGUUCGCUAAAUAAACGAAACCAAAAAAACAUAGGCGUGAUCUUAGCCGUCGGAUCGAGAUCUCGCAAUUGAGAUUAGAUCAGGGGGUGGAUACCAGCCGCGGUCGACGGCGACGAUCCCGACGGCGGCUGCGGCUUUGGGUGAGGGCGGCGCGGUGGCGGCGGGGCUUCUGCGACAGUGACUUCGGCGGCGGCGGUCGGCGGCGAGGUGUGGCGCGGCGGCGGCNNNNNNNNNNNNNNNNNNNNNNNNNNNNNNNNNNNNNNNNNNNNNNNNNNNNNNNNNNNNNNNNNNNNNNNNNNNNNNNNNNNNNNNNNNNNNNNNNNNNNNNNNNNNNNNNNNNNNNNNNNNNNNNNNNNNNNNNNNNNNNNNNNNNNNNNNNNNNNNNNNNNNNNNNNNNNNNNNNNNNNNNNNNNNNNNNNNNNNNNNNNNNNNNNNNNNNNNNNNNNNNNNNNNNNNNNNGGCGGCGGCGGCGGCAAGUGCGGCUGCGGCGGCGGUGCUCGAGGUAGAGGUGGGGGUCGGGUCGGGCGGUAUUUAAGGAGGGGCCGGGGGUGCUACGGCUUGCGGGAGGGGGCAGCGGCGGCAUCGGUGUCCGACCCGGACACGACGGGCGGCGGCGCGGCGGCGCUCGGGACUCCGUCCCGAGGCGGUGUUAGCUGGGCCUUGGCCUGGCGCUAGCCGGGCCUUGGCCUGGCGCUAGCCGGGCCGGCCAGUUCGUUCGCGAACUUUUUUAAAAAAACAAUUAUGCAGAGACAAAAACACACACAAAAAUAUAAAUAAAAUCCUAAAAAUACCAGAAAAAAUCACCUAGUAAUAUGGCCUUAUUAUUGACCUAGUGAACAUUUUUCUGGGCCUAAAUGCCUAAACUAAAAACAAACAUUAUAGUACUAAUUACUCCGCUAACUAAUAGAUAAACUAGCAAAAAAUUCAAAUAACUCUCCAAAAAUUCAAAAUUCAAUUUCCAAUAUUUCUUUGCUAAUUUUGAAGAAGUCAUUUUAUCUUCUCUCUUUAUUUUAAAAUAAUUGGAAAAGAGUUUUGAAAAACUAUUUGAUCCAAUUACCAAAAUUUGAUAAAUCAAAAUUGGAUUUUUGUGAAACCUCCAACUCUCUCAAACAGGUCCUUGAGUUGCUUAAGGUCUCUUGGAUCAAAAUGCAACUAAAACAAAACCACCAAAAAUGCAUAAACGACGGAUGCAUAUGAAUGAUCUAUGAAUAACAUCCAAAUUGAAAAUUGGGAUGUUACAAGAAGGAACCAACUGGAGUGGUAGCAUGUGGAACUCCAUCCUGUUCCAAAUCAGGGUCGCCCAAGGAAUAUCAGCCUUAUUAAAAAAAUUAUGCAGGUGCUUGAGGAGGAGAUCCUUGUUUUGGAUGUUCAAGUUGAUCACCCCAAGUCCUCAUUUGUCCUUUGGCCGGCAAACCAGAUCCCAUGUAGCCAAGGAUUGUUUUGGAGCAUCACUAUUCCCUCUCCAAAGGCAUUGCCUGAAGAUUCUGUCCAACUGUUUAAUAAUACCAGGAGGAAUUUGCAGACUGCAAAGGAAGUAGAUAGGCAUGGAGGUCAGAAUCAAAGUGAGCAACUACAAACGAGAGCCUUGACUUAACAUGCUGGAACUGGCAGUCAAUCUCCUUUCCAAGGUGCCAACUAAAGGCAUUAGGUCCACAAUCUUAGGCCUGGUAGUUCUUAGUGGCAAAACCCAGAUAGGUGAAAGGUAGUUGGCCAAUUUUACAACCCAACACAGUAGCUAACUUGGUUGCCUCCCCUUCAUCAAUAUUCAAAGGGAUCACGGAAGACUUUGCAAAGUUUACCUUGAGACCAGUAGAUUGCUAGAAAGUGAGCAACAUAUUCUUAAGAGCUACAAGCUCCUCCUCCCUGGUUGACAGAAAGAUGACAUUAUCAUCAGCAUAUUGAAUGAUAGGAAAUCCUGAUCAUGAGAUGGUAUUGGGAGGGUUAGGGUUCCAUGAGCCAACAUUUGAUUUACCACUGAUUGCAAAAGGUCAGCAGCAAGGACAAAUAAGGGGGUGAGAGAGGAUCACCCUGUCUGACCCCACACUUGCACUUGAAUUGUUUCCCGGGGAUGCCAUUGAGCAGCACAGAAGAAGAUCCCGUGGAAAGAAUCUCUUUAAUCCAACCAAUCCAUUUGUCAUCAAAACCCUUGUGCUUGAGCAUAUGCAAAAUGACCUCAUGUUCCACAGUAUCAAAAGGCUUCGCAAAAUCCAAUAUCAGAAUUAUAAUGGGUCUCUUGGAUUGUUUACAUUGAUUUAUAUAUUCAAAGGCCCAAGCUAAACAGUCAUGGAUUGAUUUUCCCUUAAGAAAACCAUAUUGAUUCUUAUGAAUGCACCUUAGGAUAACUUUUUGCAACAUGUUGGCCAACAGCUUGGUGAGAAACUUCAAGCAAGUGUUGGUUAGAGAUAUAGGUCUAAAGUCAUCCGGUCCCUCAAGAGAUGUGACGCCCCCGAUUCAAUCGUACACUAAUCAUGCACGCAAAUGUGUACGAUCAAGAUCAGGGACUCACGGGAAGAUAUCACAACACAACUCUAAAACAUAAAUAAGUCAUACAAGCAUCAUAAUACAAGCCAGGGGCCUCGAGGGCUCGAAUACAAGUGCUCGAUCAUAGACGAGUCAGCGGAAGCAACAAUAUCUGAGUACAGACAUAAGUUAAACAAGUUGCCUUAAGAAGGCUAGCACAAACUGGGAUACAGAUCGAAAGAGGCGCAGGCCUCCUGCCUGGGAUCCUCCUAACUACUCCUGGUCGUCGUCACCGGGCUGCACGUAGUAGUAGGCGCCUCCGGUGUAGUAGGGGUCGUCGUCGACGGUGGCGUCUGGCUCCUGGACUCCAGCAUCUGGUUGCGACAACCAGAAAGAAAGGAAAGGGGAAAAAAGGGGGGAGAAAGCAACCAUGAGUACUCAUCCAAAGUACUCGCAAGCGAUGAACUACACUACAUAUGCAUGGAUAUAUGUGUAAGGAGGCCAUAUCGGUGGACUGAACUGCAGAAUGCCAGAAUAAAAGGGGGAUAGCUAGUCCUAUCGAAGACUACGCUUCUGGCAGCCUCCGUCUUGCAGCAUGUAGAAGAGAGUAGAUUGAAGUCCUCCAAGUAGCAUCUCCAAGUAGCAACUCCAAGUAGCAUCUCUAGUAGCAUCGCAUAGCAUAAUCCUACCCGGCGAUCCUCCCCUCGUCGCCCUGUGGAAAAGCGAUCACCGGGUUGUCUGUGGAACUUGGAAGGGUGUGUUUUAUUAAGUAUCCGGUUCUAGUUGUCAUAAGGUCAAGGUACAACUCCAAGUCGUCCUGUUACCGAAGAUCACGGCUAUUCGAAUAGAUUACCUUCCCUGCAGGGGUGCACCAACUUACCCAGCACGCUUGAUCCCAUUUGGCCGGACACACUUUCCUGAGUCAUGCCCGGCCGCGGAAGAUCAACACGUCGCAGCCCCACCUAGGCAAAACAGAGAGGCCAGCACGCCGGUCUAAACCUAAGCGCACAGGGGUCUGGGCCCAUCGCCCAUAGCACACCUGCACGUUGCGUGGGCGGCCGGAAGCAGAACUAGCCCCCUUAAUACAAGAGCAGGCUUACGUUCCAAUCCGGCGCGCGCCGCUCCGUCGCUGACGUCUGAAGUGCUUCGACUGAUACCACGAUGUCGGGAUACCCAUAACUACUCCCGCGUAGAUGGUUAGUGCGUAUAGGCUCGUAGCCAACUCAGAUCAAAUACCAAGAUCUCGUUAAGCGUGUUAAGUAUCCGCGAACGCCGAACAGGGCCAGGCCCACCUCUCUCCUAGGUGGUCUCAACCUGCCCUGUCGCUCCGCCACAAAGUAACCGUCGGGGACCGUCGGGAACCCAGGCCCACCUCUACCGGGAUGGAGCCACCUGUCCUUUCAGCCCCCAACUCCGAACAGUAUCACAGGUAAUGUAACAGUGUAAAGUAUAUAGUAUAUGCCCGUGAUCACCUCCCGAAGUGAUCACAGCCCAGUAGUAUAGCAUGGCAGACGGACAAGAGUGUAGGGUCACUGAUGGAACACUAGCAUCCUAUACUAAGCAUUUAGGAUUGCGGGUAAGGUAUCAAUGACUGUAGCAGCAAUGACAGGCUAUGCAUCAGAAUAGGAUUAACGGAAAGCAGUAACAUGCUACACUACUCUAAUGCAAGCAGUAUAGAGAAGAGUAGGCGAUAUCUGGUGAUCAAAGGGGGGGCUUGCCUGGUUGCUCUGGCAAGAGAGAGGGGUCGUCAACUCCGUAGUCGAACUGGUCAGCAGCAGCGUCGGUCUCGUAGUCUACCGGAGAGAAGAGGGGGAAGAAAUAAUGAAUACAGAGAAAACAAAGCACCACAAAAUAUAUCAAGGCAAUAUGCGGUGUUCGGUGUGCCCUAACGCGGUAGUAGGUGAUACCGGUGAAGGGGGGAAAACCCCCGGGAAAGUAUUCCCGGUGUUUCGUGAUUUCGGGCAGAGGAGCCGGAGGGGGAAAGUUGCGGGUUCGAUAGGUUAGGGGUGUGUGGCGGACGAACGGACCGCGUAUCCGGAUUCGUCUCGUCGUUCUGAGCAACUUUCAUGUACAAAGUUUUUCCAUCCGAGCUACGGUUUAUUUUAUAUUAAUUUUAAAAGAUUUAAAUCAUUUUUAGGAUUUAUUUAUUUAAUUUAAUCAACAUUAUCCAGAAUAGUGUCUGCUGACGUCACCAUGACGUCAGCAUGACAUCAGCAGUCAACAGAGGUGUUGACUGGGUCGCUGACGUGCGGGACCCACUGGUCAUUGACUGUUUAGCCUAAUCAUUGUUUAACUAAUCUAACUACUGUUUAAUUAAAUUAAUUAGUUAGUUAGGUUAAUCUAAAUAUGAUUAAUUAACUUAAUUAUUUCCUUAAUUAAAUAAUUAAUUUAAUUAUUAUUAUUAUUUUAAUUAUUUUUAUUAUUAAUUCUCUCUUUUUUUUAAACGUUUUGUGCGGGGCCCCCAUGUCAAUGGCUCAGCGAGAGCCUUAGCGGGCGUUCGGGUAACGGGCACCGGCGUCGCUCGUGCGAAGACCGAGACCGACCCGGGGUGGGGGCAAGGCAAGGCCGUGGCCUCUCGAGGGCGCCGGCGCACUGCAGUAGGGGCCGGUGCGGGUGCGGCGGUGGCUGGGACAAGCGCGGCCCGGCGAGGUGCUUCGCGCGGCAAGGAACGGGGACGGAUCGCGGCGACCGCUGCGCGGUCGGCCGGAUCGAUGGCGAUGAGCAGCGGGGCAGAGGGAGUGGCCGGCGGCAGCGCCAGCGGUGGGGAAAGGGGUGCGGCCCGACGGACGCAGCGGCAGGGGCGCAAGAGGAGCGCGGGCAGUGGCGAGGCGGGCGGCCCUGAGCAGCGCGCAGCAGGCGCAGGCGGCAGUGCUAGCAGGGAGCGGGGCGGGGCGGCGCGGUAGUGGGCCUCGAUGGCCGGGGACAGAGAGCCAGGGGAGAGAGGGAGGGAGGCCGGAGCUCACGGCGGGGCGUAGGGUCUCGGCAGUGGGGUCGAGGUGGUCCGGUGACGAUGGCGCCGGCGAGGAGGAAGGCGAUGGUGGCGUCGGGGGUCGAGGCGGCGAGGUCCAGGCGGCGGCGCGGGCUUCGGACGACGACGAGCGAUGGGGCGCGGCGUCGGGGUCGAGGCGAUGGGGAAGUGGGGCGCUGGCGUCGCGGGAGGGGGGCAGUUCGUCCCUGAUCCAGAUCGGAUNNNNNNNNNNNNNNNNNNNNNNNNNNNNNNNNNNNNNNNNNNNNNNNNNNNNNNNNNNNNNNNNNNNNNNNNNNNNNNNNNNNNNNNNNNNNNNNNNNNNNNNNNNNNNNNNNNNNNNNNNNNNNNNNNNNNNNNNNAGGUGAGAGGAGGGGGGAAGAGCGACUGGGGGGAGGGGGCGAGUGGGGGAGAGUGGGGAUCGGGUGGGGGUUAGGGUUCGGGGAGGUGGCCUUGUAGGCCAGAGAGGAGGGCCGGCUGGGCCUGGUGGGUCGGCCGGUGCGGAGGCCAGCUGGGCCGCUCGGCCCAGCGUGGGGGGGUGUUUCUAUUUUCAUGUUUUUUUUGUUUGACCUUUUCCUUUUUUUCUAUUUUCCUGUUUCUUUUAGUUUUACUUUAUAUGCAGUUUUUUUUUAUAAUAUAUCAACUCAGCCCCUAAAUUAGCAUUAUUAGUUAGGCUACUGUCAUAAUUAAUUUGGCACUAAUAAAUUAGUUUUACAUUUGUUUAUUAUUGAAAAGUAUUUAAUAAUUGUUUUAGCCCCUGUUUUUAUUUAGUUUAGGCACUUAAACAUUUUGAAAAAGGUUGGUUCCAACACCCAAAAUAAGUUACGGAUUAUUUGCCACAUGAUGAUCAUUUUAAAUUCUAACAUUUGAAAACCUUUAUUGUUUGCCUGAUUUUGAAUUUGAAUUUGAAUCGGCUUGAACCAACUCGAGUUUAUCAACAGUAACCGAGGUGACGUGGCACCAUUAGCAGGGGUUUACUGUAGCUUAAUUAUCCGGGCGUCACAAUUCUCCUCCACUAUAAGAAAUCUCGUCCCGAGAUUUAAGAGGGAAGUAAAGGGGGAAGGUUCGGGUUACGAAAUUCUAGGGAGUGUUCUUGGUCUCGGUUGUUCUUCUCGAAGAGGUCAAUCCAUUACAUUGAAGUCUUCAUUUGUCUACUUCAGGUUAUCAUUGUGAUGUCGUUUUUUUCUCGGGAACUCCAACGUACUUACGAAUAGGUAAGGGGCAGCUCGGCUACGACAGAAUGCUUAUGAGGGAAACAAUCUGGGGGUUAGCCCAUGAAUGAGCAUAAGAUUAUCUCUCGAGUUGAACAUAUCGAAUACAUCAAGAGUAAGGUACGAAGGUACAAUCAGAGGUUCCAAGUGGAUAGAUAGUUGCUCGAAGUCUGAACCAGAGUGAGAAAGGGUUUCAGAGCAGCGAGAGUAAGUAUUGCGUCUGAUACCAGAAUAGAGCAUUAGGAAGGUGGCCCGUGAAUUAAAUAUGAAGCCAAGCGCGAGGAAUAACUUCGACAACAGGGUGUAUAGGAGAGUCAGGUUUCGAUCCUGUGGAACUAUGGGUUAUGGGCCCACCAUGUGGGUUAAAAGUUGGAAGGGUGGAGACGUCUUGCGUGAUCAUGCAAGCAAGGCAAGUCAGAGGCUAGCCUGUCGAUUAUGUCGGCAACAACGACGGUACCAAGGGCGAGGGACGAAGAGAACCAUUUUCCUGCUCGUCGAACGAGGCGGACCAAUAGGCAAGGUUCUCGUCCAUCGGUGGCUACCAGAAUGUCAUCAACAAUAGUAACAGGGUCUUAUUGACAGAGUCGUACAACCGAGGUGUUUAUAUAAGCAGCGAAUCUUUACUUCUUAGAUCAUAUAAAUCACAAUAAAGGUUAACCCAACAAUGGAAAGGAAAAUAUUAUUAUCAAAUUAAACGGAACAAGGGAAAGGAAAAUGUGUUUAAACACAUAUUUCAGGGGUAUAUCCUUCCCAAGGACAAGCAGAGCACGAUAUCCAUGAAAGGAUAUUAUGUCGAAAACUCUUGAGGUAAGGGGAGAGAAUAUCAUGGCAUUACCCAUACAACGGUGUUUGGAUAAUUUAGUAAGAAACAUUUAGCAUUGGCUUCAAAUGGUCUUGUUGAAAUUCGGAGUACCACAGACAUGCUUCGAGAUAGCAUUGACAUGGUCUUCAAUCAAAGGCUAGACUUUGGACACAAAGGAUCCAUCGGAAACAACUUAUAGAAUAAGUCUUACAAUUUCCUCAUGGAAGAAUGGAUAACCUUGCUGAAAAGAAAUAUAUAACAAUAGGGCCUCCGGCCAGGUGGGCUAGGUAUGAUACCACCUCACCGGGUCAUAUAACGACCAACAUUAUAACUUUUGGAAAUAUGUUCCAACCACCAUAUCUGGCCGAGAGUCAGAAUUGAUUGGGGUCAUGAUACCUCAGACCCAGGAUGCCUGAGAAGAAAAGGUGUAACACAAAUUGUCGAGAUGAUAUGUUAAGAUUCUCCAGAAUUGAACUAUGGAUGCAAGUUCAGAAACAAGAGUUCAUCAGUAAACCAAGGAGAGGAUGAGGGGGUGGCUGAUGGUCUCAGCGACAAUUCCUCGAGAUUUCCAAAAAGAUGGAUUUCCACAAUCAUGUGAUCAAGGAGAUAACAUUUGUCAGAUCAAAUGAUAUCAUGAUGUAUGCCUGAGGAAAACAUACGCAAUUAACCAGUGGGUGAAAGGUGCACCGGAAUUAUGGGCUUAGGUAGCAAGAUCAAUAUUAGAAUGGUGAUUCGAUAACCAAUGGUCUAAGAAUGAAUUAUCGACCAUUAACUUCAAAGCAAUAGGGUUGCUAGAAGUUUUGAAGUCAUGCAUAAUAGUUCAAUUGUCGGUUCUCCGGUUAGAACAACGCGGGGACCAAGGGAGGAACGGAUAUGGCAAGAAGUAUCACCUGUAUCAAGAAUUCUUAAGAGGUGGUGAAAUUCCCACGACAUUCUUGACAUAAAAAGAUGGUAAUACUCCAAGGUAAAGGAGAACAAAUGCUGGAUAGCAAGGAUCUCAAGGUAUGCACAAAACACGAAGAAGUGUGUUGGGGGAAGGCAAGAAUGUUGUCGAUGAUAACACAAAUCACCGAGGGGCAAGGAUGGUAUUUCUCAUCAGGAUUCGAUUGAUUUCCUAUAAGAGCUCAGAAUGUUGAUGAUGAUCACGACACAAUUGUCGAGAGAUUUAAUGAAGAUGUAAUCGAUCGGUGAUGACAUCAGUCAAACGAAUGAUGAAGCGAAAGGUUAUUGGAACCAUGGUAUGUCACAAACUCGAAACCAAGCUUGUUGCUCAAGGACAAACGAUAUGACGAGGAAGAUCGAUUGUAAGAUUAGCUCAUCAUCGAAAGUUGUGCUCCGGAAGAAGCACCGGGUAGCAUAGUUAAAAUUAGCUCGAUAAUGAUAUAGCCGAUCAGGCUAGGAACGACUUGAAGGAUUAAUAAAUUUGUAAGCAGUGAUGGGUUCAAAUACUUGUUGAAUCGCAAUGCGAACUCGAUUCAGUUAUCGGUGUCUUUGAGUUUUUAAUAACUCAGAGCCCGUGAAAAAUUUGAAUCAGUGAGAAGGUAGUACUUGAUGAACUCAUAAAAAUUUAGGCAGUUCCAUAAUAAUCUCGAGAUACCAUGGGGUAAUACUCGAUGACAGAUCGAAGUAGAGGUUGGACCGGGGCAUUGCUCUGCAGAAGACAAGUGCUUAAACUUGCACGAGAAAUGGUAUUUAAAGGAGAACAUGGUCGAAACCAAGAUUGCAAAAAGGCCAGAUCCCAGAUAUAAGAUGAUCUUAUAUCAAUGGAAUAAUUAAUUUUAAAAGAAGCUUCGAUGAGAAGAUGUGUAUCAUGUCCAUGGGCAUGAACACAAAGUUCAAGGUCGACUCCCACUUCCCCAAUGCACAACCUUUCAUUCACUUCUCGCGUUCAAUGAAGUUGUAGUGUUGAAAUUUUAUCUGGCAAAAUAUCAGAAGAGUACGACUCGUGAAAACUUUCGAGCCCACACAUAUUAAGGAAGGCAUAGGUUCAACCCAUCGGGGCAUCUUAGAAUCAUAUACCAGAAUCUUUAGAAGUAAUUAACUCAAGCUCGAAGACAUAGCAUGGUUGAGAAAGCAGACGAUACAAUUUACCAAAGGCAUUAUGUAUCAGAGAAAAGGCUCACAAGGUUAUUGAAUAUGAAGGGCGUUGUCAGAUAAAAUCCAACAAAGGAUCUGGUGGUCCACAAGGGAUCUGACGUGAGCAUCGGUACUCAACUAGAGGAAGCAAAUUAUAGAAACAACUGACUAACUCAAUUGUCAAAUGCAAAGGAAUUAUGAUUUCCAAAUCAAGGGAUCAGAAGCAAUGCUCUGAUUAGGGGUGGAUAAGUUGAAUAGCCUUAGGGUACAAUCAAAGACAAUUGGAUUGGUCGAGAACCAAUUCCAGUUAAAAGGAUGGCAGCUCAGUCGGAAAAUUAAUUUAUAAGGAUCAAUGAUGAUUGCGUGCAUUCGCAAACAUAUUGAGUCAACGGACUCAAAAUGAUAAUGACAAGGAAUGUCAUUAAGACUACGAGACUUAUGGGAUUAACCAUAAUGCAAGCAAGCAAGAAUUUCAAGAGCCAAAGGCUCCAGAGGAUUUUAGGAAGAUCGAAUAUUAUUUUAAAGACUUUUGUGAAACACAUGAACAAUUGGGGAUGAGCGGAUACUCGGCAAGCGCGAGUAAUUAUCCGUAGGGGUAUUCAUGCAGCAAGGAACUGCAGGGCAGUAAGCGUAAAGAAUUCUCGGAAUAACGAAGAGUAUUUCAGGACAUCUUGUAAUAUCAAGAGCAACUGGGGAUGACAAUAUGAACGAUAGGUGUAAGUAGUUAUCCAGAGGGAUUUAUCGAUGGAAGUGAAUUGCAAAAGCGAUGGCACAUAGUCUCGAGAGCACACCGUAGAGUAUCUUCGGAAUCUUCUGGUUAGCAGACGGUCAUCUGAAGUGAGGGGCUCUCCGGGAGAAAGUACUUGCGAGAACCUAAAGUUAGUUUUGUUUUAAGCAAAAUCGUUUAACCCGAAUAGAAGAGAGUUCAGAAUCCCAGAGUAAAGAUCGAGGAGUAAAAGAUCCUAAUACCACCCAAUGGCGACGUGGGCCCAUGGGCCGCACAGCCAUGUUAGUAAAAGUUUUUCAACGACUAGACUCGACUUCGGCCAAGGAGUUGGAAAGGGGAUUCCUACAGGCAGCCGGCUCUGAUACCAACUUGUGACGCCCCCGAUUCAAUCGUACACUAAUCAUGCACGCAAAUGUGUACGAUCAAGAUUAGGGACUCACGGGAAGAUAUCACAACACAACUCUAAAACAUAAAUAAGUCAUACAAGCAUCAUAAUACAAGCCAGGGGCCUCGAGGGCUCGAAUACAAGUGCUCGAUCAUAGACGAGUCAGCGGAAGCAACAAUAUCUGAGUACAGACAUAAGUUAAACAAGUUGCCUUAAGAAGGCUAGCACAAACUGGGAUACAGAUCGAAAGAGGCGCAGGCCUCCUGCCUGGGAUCCUCCUAACUACUCCUGGUCGUCGUCAGCGGGCUGCACGUAGUAGUAGGCGCCUCCGGUGUAGUAGGGGUCGUCGUCGACGGUGGCGUCUGGCUCCUGGACUCCAGCAUCUGGUUGCGACAACCAGAAAGAAAGGAAAGGGGGAAAAAGGGGGGAGAAAGCAACCGUGAGUACUCAUCCAAAGUACUCGCAAGCAAGGAACUACACUACAUAUGCAUGGAUAUAUGUGUAAGGAGGCCAUAUCGGUGGAUUGAACUGCAGAAUGCCAGAAUAAAAGGGGGAUAGCUAGUCCUAUCGAAGACUACGCUUCUGGCAGCCUCCGUCUUGCAGCAUGUAGAAGAGAGUAGAUUGAAGUCCUCCAAGUAGCAUCUCCAAGUAGCAACUCCAAGUAGCAUCUCCAGUAGCAUCGCAUAGCAUAAUCCUACCCGGCGAUCCUCCCCUCGUCGCCCUGUGGAAAAGCGAUCACCGGGUUGUCUGUGGAACUUGGAAGGGUGUGUUUUAUUAAGUAUCCGGUUCUAGUUGUCAUAAGGUCAAGGUACAACUCCAAGUCGUCCUGUUACCGAAGAUCACGGCUAUUCGAAUAGAUUAACUUCCCUGCAGGGGUGCACCAACUUACCCAGCACGCUUGAUCCCAUUUGGCCGGACACACUUUCCUGAGUCAUGCCCGGCCGCGGAAGAUCAACACGUCGCAGCCCCACCUAGGCAAAACAGAGAGGCCAGCACGCCGGUCUAAACCUAAGCGCGCAGGGGUCUGGGCCCAUCGCCCAUAGCACACCUGCACGUUGCGUGGGCGGCCGGAAGCAGAACUAGCCCCCUUAAUACAAGAGCAGGCUUACGUUCCAAUCCGGCGCGCGCCGCUCCGUCGCUGACGUCUGAAGUGCUUCGGCUGAUACCACGACGUCGGGAUACCCAUAACUACUCCCGCGUAGAUGGUUAGUGCGUAUAGGCUCGUAGCCAACUCAGAUCAAAUACCAAGAUCUCGUUAAGCGUGUUAAGUAUCCGUGAAUGCCGAACAGGGCCAGGCCCACCUCUCUCCUAGGUGGUCUCAACCUGCCCUGUCGCUCCGCCACAAAGUAACCGUCGGGGACCGUCGGGAACCCAGGCCCACCUCUACCGGGAUGGAGCCACCUGUCCUUUCAGCCCCCAACUCCGAACAGUAUCACAGGUAAUGUAACAGUGUAAAGUAUAUAGUAUAUGCCCGUGAUCACCUCCCGAAGUGAUCACAGCCCAGUAGUAUAGCAUGGCAGACGGACAAGAGUGUAGGGUCACUGAUGGAACACUAGCAUCCUAUACUAAGCAUUUAGGAUUGCGGGUAAGGUAUCAAUGACUGUAACAGCAAUGACAGGCUAUGCAUCAGAAUAGGAUUAACGGAAAGCAGUAACAUGCUACACUACUCUAAUGCAAGCAGUAUAGAGAAGAGUAGGCGAUAUCUGGUGAUCAAAGGGGGGGCUUGUCUGGUUGCUCUGGCAAGAGAGAGGGGUCGUCAACUCCGUAGUCGAACUGGUCAGCAGCAGCGUCGGUCUCGUAGUCUACCGGAGAGAAGAGGGGGAAGAAAUAAUGAAUACAGAGCAAACAAAGCACCACAAAAUAUAUCAAGGCAAUAUGCGGUGUUCGGUGUGCCCUAACGCGGUAGUAGGUGAUACCGGUGAAGGGGGGAAAACCCCCGGGAAAGUAUUCCCGGUGUUUCGUGUUUUCGGGCAGAGGAGCCGGAGGGGGAAAGUUGCGGGUUCGAUAGGUUAGGGGUGUGUGGCGGACGAACGGACCGCGUAUCCGGAUUCGUCUCGUCGUUCUGAGCAACUUUCAUGUACAAAGUUUUUCCAUCCGAGCUACGGUUUAUUUUAUAUUAAUUUUAAAAGAUUUAAAUCAUUUUUAGGAUUUAUUUAUUUAAUUUAAUCAACAUUAUCCAGAAUAGUGUCUGCUGACGUCACCAUGACGUCAGCAUGACAUCAGCAGUCAACAGAGGUGUUGACUGGGUCGCUGACGUGCGGGACCCACUGGUCAUUGACUGUUUAGCCUAAUCAUUGUUUAACUAAUCUAACUACUGUUUAAUUAAAUUAAUUAGUUAGUUAGUUAAUCUAAAUAUGAUUAAUUAACUUAAUUAUUUCCUUAAUUAAAUAAUUAAUUUAAUUAUUAUUAUUAUUUUAAUUAUUUUUAUUAUUAAUUCUCUCUUUUUUUUAAACGUUUUGUGCGGGGCCCCCAUGUCAAUGGCUCAGCGAGAGCCUUAGCGGGCGUUCGGGUAACGGGCACCGGCGUCGCUCGUGCAAAGACCGAGACCGACCCGGGGUGGGGGCAAGGCAAGGCCGUGGCCUCUCGAGGGCGCCGGCGCACUGCAGUAGGGGCCGGUGCGGGUGCGGCGGUGGCUGGGACAAGCGCGGCCCGACGAGGUGCUUCGCGUGGCAAGGAACGGGGACGGAUCGCGGCGACCGCGGCGCGGUCGGCCGGAUCGAUGGCGAUGAGCAGCGGGGCAGAGGGAGUGGCCGGCGGCAGCGCCAGCGGUGGGGAAAGGGGUGCGGCCCGACGGACGCAGCGGCAGGGGCGCAAGAGGAGCGCGGGCAGUGGCGAGGCGGGCGGCCNNNNNNNNNNNNNNNNNNNNNNNNNNNNNNNNNNNNNNNNNNNNNNNNNNNNNNNNNNNNNNNNNNNNNNNNNNNNNNNNNNNNNNNNNNNNNNNNNNNNNNNNNNNNNNNNNNNNNNNNNNNNNNNNNNNNNNNNNNNNNNNNNNNNNNNNNNNNNNNNNNNNNNNNNNNNNNNNNNNNNNNNNNNNNNNNNNNNNNNNNNNNNNNNNNNNNNNNNNNNNNNNNNNNNNNNNNNNNNNNNNNNNNNNNNNNNNNNNNNNNNNNNNNNNNNNNNNNNNNNNNNNNNNNNNNNNNNNNNNNNNNNNNNNNNNNNNNNNNNNNNNNNNNNNNNNNNNNNNNNNNNNNNNNNNNNNNNNNNNNNNNNNNNNNNNNNNNNNNNNNNNNNNNNNNNNNNNNNNNNNNNNNNNNNNNNNNNNNNNNNNNNNNNNNNNNNNNNNNNNNNNNNNNNNNNNNNNNNNNNNNNNNNNNNNNNNNNNNNNNNNNNNNNNNNNNNNNNNNNNNNNNNNNNNNNNNNNNNNNNNNNNNNNNNNNNNNNNNNNNNNNNNNNNNNNNNNNNNNNNNNNNNNNNNNNNNNNNNNNNNNNNNNNNNNNNNNNNNNNNNNNNNNNNNNNNNNNNNNNNNNNNNNNNNNNNNNNNNNNNNNNNNNNNNNNNNNNNNNNNNNNNNNNNNNNUUCUAUUUUUAUGUUUUUUUUUGUUUGACCUUUUCCUUUUUUUCUAUUUUCCUGUUUCUUUUAGUUUUACUUUAUAUGCAGUUUUUUUUAUAUAAUAUAUCAACUCAGCCCCUAAAUUAGCAUUAUUAGUUAGGCUACUGUCAUAAUUAAUUUGGCACUAAUAAAUUAGUUUUACAUUUGUUUAUUAUUGAAAAGUAUUUAAUAAUUGUUUUAGCCCCUGUUUUUAUUUAGUUUAGGCACUUAAACAUUUUGAAAAAGGUUGGUUCCAACACCCAAAAUAAGUUACGGAUUAUUUGCCACAUAAUGAUCAUUUUAAAUUCUAACGUUUGAAAACCUUUAUUGUUUGCCUGAUUUUGAAUUUGAAUUUGAAUCGGCUUGAACCAACUCGAGUUUAUCAACAGUAACCGAGGUGACGUGGCACCAUUAGCAGGGGUUUACUGUAGCUUAAUUAUCCGGGCGUCACAAGAGAUAUCAUUUUUGGUAUGAGAGUUAUGAGGGAACCAUUUAUAUUUUCCAAAGACAAUUUCCCCUAAUAAAAGUCUUGAAUCAGACGCAAAAAAUCCUUCUCAAUGAUGGGCCAACAACGUUUGACAAAUAUUCCAUUAAAACCAUCGAGACCCGGCGCUCGAUCAGGUGGCAUCUCCUACAGAACUUUCUUGAUUUCAUCGUCUGAAAAAGGUUGUGACAGCUCCUCAAGACCUGGGACAGGCUAGAUGAGAUUAUCCAAAUCAUAGCGCAUGGAAAUGCCUUGGGCCUGGCCCAUUCUAUUUUUAAAAGAAGCCCAAAUAAUUCCCGCCAUCUGAUCAUGAUCAGAGACCGGAUCAUCCAUCCCAGAAGUUUUCAGACUAGCUAUAGAAUUCUUCCAAAAAUGAUAUAAAGUUGCUAUAAAAUGAUUGUAAAACAUCCAAGAAUGAUAAUAUAACAGCAUGGAACAAUCAAAAAUUAUAGAUACAUUGGAGACGUAUCAGAUCCCCUGUAUUCCGCCAAGGCUCUCCCUCUUUACCAGUAAACUAGACAAACCUUCAGUACACAGUAAGAACAAAUAUGGGUGAUGGGGUCUCCUUAACAGAAUUCUCGGGAUGGCACCACAACAGAUGUAAGCUCUCAUUUGUCUUCACCACGUAUCUUGUCGAGGUAAUGCAGCGCAUCACAGUUUGUAUCCAAACAGGAGAAAAACCCAACUUUUGCAGACACCCAUGGAGGUAGGACCACUCAAUGUGAUCAUAGGCCUUCAUCAUGUCCACUUUGCGCAAAGAAAGGCUUCUUGGAAUGUUGCUUUUGAACCGUGUGCAAACAUUCAUACGCCACUAGAACACUGUCCGUGAUCAAGCGGUCGGGCAUGAAAGCACUUUGAAACUCCGAGACAAUGACAGUAAAAAAACCUUCAACCUAUUAGCAAGAACUUCAGAUGCAAGGUUGUACAACACGUUGCACAAGCUAAUAGGAUGGAACUUGGAGAGGUGUUGGGCAUUUUGUACCUGAGGAAUUAACACAACGAUAGAGUCGCAUAGUCCUUCAGGUAGAGCCUCGCCACUCAAGAAAGAGUGAAUAGCAUCACAAAUGUCAUGCUGGAGCAGAUCCCAGUGAGUUUGAUAGAACAUAGCUGGCAGUCCAUCCGAUCCAGGAGCCUUUGCAGGACCGAUCUGAAAGAGAGCCACUCUCAUCUCCUCAUUACUAUAAAGUUUGCACAACUCAGCAUUCAUGUUAUCAUCAACCUUUCUAGGGAUAGCAUCGAACACCCUCUCCAUAGAGAUGCAGUCCUCGGCGAAGAAUAGAUUCUCAUAAAACUCAUAUACCAUCUCUUUCAUCCCAUCCCGUGAGACACUUCUCAUAAAACUCACUGUGGGAGACGUGGUCUGGGUUGAACCGUGUGUCCAGUGCUCUCAAGGAAUGGAGCAAGGUGUCCUUUGGCUGCGUCUGUCGUGAUAUCUAGAGGACUGAAAGGAGACUCAAGACUCCGUGCAUGCCACCUGUGAGUGUGGUUGUGCUGAAGGAAGAACGCGAAGUGGAAUGUCAGCUAUGUGAAUUAUUUGAGCAUGAGAAAAUUAUGGCUCGCCAAUGGUCUCAGGUUGGAUGGCUCCGGGCGGGAGAUCGUAAUACGGAAAUCUUCCUCAUAUUUGAGAAGUUAAGGCUUGAGAAGGUGUUUGGGGAGUUAAAGUUUGAGGGUUUAUUUAGAUAUGCCCUUAGCCUUAGCUACGUUUAGUUUAUGUGUCACUAGCUGUGGAAAUAUGACCUGUAGUAUGAUGGCAUUUCACAUAUUGUUUUGGUUAUGGUCACACGACAUUUUUUUGUAAGUGAUAUGAUGUGAUUGGAAGAGAACCUUUAAUAUGUCGUGGCAAUAAGUUUGCACUUUUUCCAUUUCAUCUUUUAUCCUCAUGGCAAAUUUUGUAGAAUUGUUUUCUUAUAGUAUAUAAGUGGUAUGUUUCUUAUAGUAUGAUGUCCCGUAUCCGUCAUGGCAAUAAGUUUACAUUUUUGCCAUGUCAUUUCUUAUCCCUAUGGCAAUUUGUAGAAUUGUUUUCUUAUAUUUCCUCCGUCUCAAAAUAAAUGACUCGGGUUUGUACUAACUCUAGAACAAUGUUAGUGCAAAGUUGAGUCACUUAUUUUGGGACGAAAGGAGUAGUAUAUAAGUGAUAUGUUUUCUUAUAGUAUGAUGGCAUUUUACAGAAUUUUUGGUUGUGGUCACACGGGAUUCUUAUUGUAAGUGAUAUGUCAUGAUGGGAACUCAAAAUAUAGGGCCAUGUCAACUCAACUAUAUAUUACCAUGUCUCUAAAUCCUGUUUUUUUGUUGACAUGUCGAUAAAACUUAAUUUAUUGCCAUGGGUAGUUCAUUUUUUUAAUUUAGGUAGCAUUCCUUUUUUAUAUUCUUGAGAGUAUGGCAAUUUUAAUAAUGAGAUCAUGGCCCAUUUUAUUUUGACUUAUAACUAUUUUUUUCAUUUUCAUAUGGUGACUCUGGACUUCUGUUACACUUUUUCCAACAAGUCUAGUCAUAUGUCCAUUUUGUAUCAAUGUAUAUUUGACAUGUACCCAUGGUAAUUUUAUUUCUAUUCCUAGGAAGCUAGCAUGUCCCCAUUACAUGUUUUUUAGAGCAUGGCCAUAGUAGCUAGCAUGUCAAUUUAUGAAAAAGAUAAUGGUGUUCUCUAUAUCUACUCCUCUGGUAAGUCUAUUUCACAGCCAUGACAAUUUUAUAGUUCAUAAAUUAGCAUGGCAUGUUAUUUUUUAUCAUCUAGAGCAUGUCAUGUCGUAAAUUUUAUGUGUUCUCCGUAUGAUGUGUUUCAAAAAAAUUGCUUCUGUCUGCUCGUCAGGUCCACCUCCCAUGGCUUUCGUCAUCCAGAUAUUGGUGUCUUCUUUUGAAGGUCGAAUAAUUCCAUGGUAAUGACUGACGGUGGCAGUUUCUGCAAGAAAACUGCACCAAAAUAAAACACUAAAACUGUUACUCAACAGUUCGCAAAUGCUAAUCCUAGCUCGCGAACGGUCGCAAGCUAGAGGGUUCCUAAUUUUAACUAGAUCGGCAACGCGCCUUGGCGCGAGGGUGCUGAUCCAACCGAUAUGAUCAAGCAGUGAAAGAUCAAACAGAUAUGAUGCAGUAGUAGGAACGCAAGUUUUGCACGUGUAACAAAACAACUUAAUCAAAGAAGUGCUACUUGCCGAACCCCAACUCCCGCAUGUGCGUGUCUAUCAUGAUGGAAAUAUAUCAAGGAAUUAAUCAAAAAAAGUUCAAUGAUCAAAUAUCUGAUAUAACCCUUUUUCGAUCAACAUCUGAUAUUACUCAAUGUAUCUCAGGAUGGAAAUAUAUCUGAUAUUACUCACAUAGGUGAUGGUAGAUACUAACAACAGUAAACACUCUGUAAAAUAUCUAAAAAAUGGCCCUAUCUAAGCAAGGUUCGGUGUGGUAGAAAUCAAAAUCAGGCCAUAGUAUUAGUCCCAGAUAACUGAUGUACACCGUUUUUCACACUGCAUAAUAGUAAACUACAUGGUUGAGUAUUAGAUAUAUAACUUUGUCCACACACCUUCAUCCAAUUUGCUUGAUAUAUAACUUUGUCCAUAUAUAACUUUGUCCACACUCCAUUUGAUUUGGUUGCAUGUUGCAACGCAUGUUGCCUUACCGGCGUCGACGCCGAUGCCCGACUGCUCUUGGAGGCGUCAACAGUGGUUUCAAGGCUGAGGGUGAGGAAGAAGGGCUGGUCGCCGGCUCCAUUUUGCAUCUGCAGAACCCAAGAACUAAAGAUCAACCAAAUGAUGUGCAGUGAAGGCUAUACGUGGUUGAAUGAGUUUGCAUCAGGAAACAUGUCAGCUCAAAUGAGAACUUCCACAAGAAAAAUGCUCUCGGUGAUAGCGUUUGUUUAUCACUGCAGAUAAAACUGGUUAUAUAGUGCAGUCCUCUGUUUAUGUACAUGCCAUGCCAGACUACUAUGCAUGAAAUUUAUACUGAGACAUGGCUGCUAAUCUUUCUAGUUUAUAUAUUCAAUUGACUUUCUAAAAUAAUUACACCAAUUCACAUACACGCAUGGUCAUUGAAUUUGACAAUCACUUAAGUUUACAGUAUAUGGCUCUUGCGAGUGCCCUAUUUGUUGAUUGUUAUUUUUUCUUAAUUAGUUCACCACAAGACGAUACAUUUGUUCAGUUGUUCUAACUAUAAAAAGAUUAUCUCGUGAAUAGGUGAAGAAAACAAAUACUUAUUGAACAACAUGAUAUGACAAUAAAGGGCAACCUGGUGCAUGUAGCUCCCGCUUGCGCAGGGUCCAGGGAAGGGUCCGACCACUUUGGGUCUAUAGUACGCAGCCUUUCCCUACAUUUCUGUAAGAGGCUGUUUCCAGGACUUGAACCCAUGACCUCAUGGUCACAAGGCAGCAGCUUUACCACUGCGCCAAGGCUCCCCUUCAACAACAUGAUAUGACAAUGAUGCAAAGAAAAUCAUUAUUCAUAUGAAUCGUUUAAAUAACUCGAUCAAUAUAAUCACACAUGAUUAAUAGGAAAGAACCGCAUCAAUGUUGGCCAGGGACAGGGUAAUGUCCUGUCAGAGAUGCUUUUAGCUGGUUGACACCCUGCAUAAGAUGAUGCUUCUCGCUGCAACGAAACAAAGGAAAUCUCAACACAAAGGAACAUACUGCUCCUCUUCGAAAAGUAGUAAGAAAAGGAGAAGCAGGAUAUACUCACCCCUGAUACAAG